rnacentral:lncRNA from 1 species
GCGUCUCCAAAUCUGCAACUCAAGCGCUAGGACAGCGGAGAGGGUGGACGCGGAGGUCGGUUGUCGCUCAUGGCCAUGGCUUCAGAUAUGGAGUCUCGGCCGCGAGCCCAUUGCUUUGCAUCUCCAAUCUGCCGGCGGGACAACGGAGAGGGUGGAUGCGGAGAUCGUCGUCGCUCACGGCUAUGGAUGCGAAGCCCACUAGUCUGCGUCUCCUAAUCUGCCGCUGAGACGCCGAGACAACAGAGAGGGUGUGCGUUCAGUUCUUUGGACGAGAGGCCCCCCAUUGCUGACCGUUGCUCUGUAUCUUCAUAUCUGUGGACAAGCGCUCGCCGCCAAGGCCUAGCCGCCUGGACGACAGAGGGUGGACGCAGGGAUCUGCCUGGACGUGACGAUACCAUCGCCCAACAGCUUUGAUCUGGUUUGCUGUUCAACGGCUUUGAGCUCGAGUCUUGGCUCGUCCAUGGCUGCCGGCGACAAGCUCAACAGCUUUGCCGCAAACCGUGAUGGCCACGGUGGGGCGGUGGCUUAAGGGUGGCGGCUUGGGCGGUGGAGAUAGCCAAGCUGAGGCGGAGCACAGGUUGAAGAUGGAGGAGGAAAAGAGAAAAUUAAUAAUUUCUAAUAUAUACGUGCCAAGAUUUAAUUGAAUAUCAGUAAAUAAGCGCGCAAUGUCAGCCGAUGACGGAGAAACGCCACCCCCCAAUCAGUCUCUCUUUUCAUGCUAACGACUGAAACGCAAAUAUUUAAAGGAAAAACGGGAAACUUUAGUACCAGCCAAUGUAAUGGAUUNNNNNNNNNNNNNNNNNNNNNNNNNNNNNNNNNNNNNNNNNNNNNNNNNNNNNNNNNNNNNNNNNNNNNNNNNNNNNNNNNNNNNNNNNNNNNNNNNNNNAGACUUCCACUGCUUCAAUUCAUCUAGGUUUGUGACAAAAGAUGGAUGGAUGGGACAUUUGUCAGAUUUUGGCUAGUGCUAACGCAAAGUUGUGGAAAUUGAAUUGCAAGGGACUACUUUUUAGAUGUCUAAAAUUAUACAUGUGGACCAUUUAUAUUUUUUAGUAGCCAUAAAUUCGAAAUUUUUGUAGCUAAGUUUUGCUUUAGGCAGGUAGGAGUAGCCCAAAUGCUGAGAUGUAAACCGAGUUGAAAGAAGUUAUGUAGAUCUUGUCUUUUGGCCUCAAUUUUAGUAUUGUCUAAGUCACUAUGAUUUUGUGAUUUAAAAUAUGCAAGAUUUGUAUUGCUUCUUGCGCUCUACUCCUGUGGAUCCUAUAAUUUUUUUUCCAAAUUGCUUAUUGCGUCGCAAUACGAAGUAUCAAUGUCAAAACACAAGGAUACUGAAGUUCUUAUUGAAGUUCUAGAUUUUUGCUCUCUCUUUUAUGUUUAUGCGUCCAUUAAUCUCUUUAAGUUUCCCCCUUUUAUACUAGUUGGAAUGCGUAUUAUGCAAGAUUGUAUAAGCAAUACAAUUGAUGUGAAUGUUAGCUUUUCCAAGUUUCAGAUGUAGCUCUCUGUCUGCAUUUAACCAAAUUAAGCUGGCAAGUAUUAAUUUUACUCUUCUGUAGAGCUUUUGGCUAUUCUGUCUUAGUGAAAGUUUGAACAAGCAAAUAGUUCCAUAUGUUUUAUGCUACAAGUAUCAAUCGUUGGAAAUAUCUCUGCUUUUUAACAAAUUCAUGGUGUGUUUACCUUCGAAUGCUCAGAGAUAUAUACCUUCCUAUUUUUCAUAAUGGUAUUUCACUGUGCAUCCAAAUGAUUGCCCUUCUAUUUGCCAUUUUCUUGCCUUGUUUCUAUUUCUGUGACAAAGGGUGACAUUACUUAUGUUAGAGGAUAUCCUAUGAAGGUAGGAGGCAUCUGGAACAGAGUUGACGUUUCAGUUGCAUUUGCAGGUUAGAUUCCUGGGUAGAAUCCCAUCAAUGUUUGUAUCCAAGUUCUUUGGGUUUUUUUGGUUAUCUUUUGUGUCAUGAAGUUUGAGCUAUAAUGCUACUGAGUGUCCUCUUGCAUUGCCUUAAAGUUCUAUUACUGAGGUUUUGCGAAUUGAAUUCAGCAUCUUGCGUUCUAAUUUGUCUAAUUAUCUUAGUUGGUAUGCCAUCCUAGUAUUGGCACAUACAACUGAGAAAGGUGAAGGGCCAUGACUGGCAAAAAGGGCACAUUCUAGUGUUAUUAUAGAUGGUGGGAAUUAUGAGGGCCCAAUUGGGAGUGUGUUCAAAUAUGUAUUUGUUUGUUCUACAUUUGUAAAAAAUAUGGCCCAAGUUAUUCCAAGUUCAACAGCUAGGUUAUAAAACAAUGCUUACAAUUACAUGGGCUAUACCAAACACAUUUAUGCCAAUUGACAAGCUGCUUCUCUCUAAUUGCAUUCCAUUUGCAAGCAGAACUAUACCUUCCAUCAAAGUAGCAAUGGCAGGAUGCUAGAAAAGGGAUCAUGCAUAAAGCAGCCAGCACUUGUAGCAAAUCGUUAGAUCUUGAAUCCAUGCUUCCCAAACAACUACUGAUUAAGAUCAAGAGAUGGACCUGAACCAUAGACAAUUUCCUGUUGGAUAUUUAUCAAGCAAAGGACCAUAAGAUGCCAUGAUCAAACCACAAGAAAAAUGUACUCCCCUACUCAAUGUGUACUUCAUUAGCUGCUUGGCUAUUUUACACAGCUUCAACACUUAAUUCAGCAAUAGAAGGAGUCAGAGCGCAACUUUAAAGGCCAUAAACUUUUCCCUUUUUGUUUAUAAAUUUCAAUCCAAGAUGUUCGGAAAUAAUUGGAUUUCAAGAAAAUGCUCAAAUUAUACAUCAGGAUACAAGCAUUAUUCCAUUCAAGUAAUAUUAUUUAACCGCUAAGCAUACUUGCUUCUUAGGUAGAUACACCUUUUGCUCCAUGUGUAGAAGAGCUUUUCCAAAGAAACCAUCAUGCUUUGCUCGAUUUGUUCUAUUAGUUCUCUUGGGCAGGAUGAAAAUAUCGCAGCAAUAGACACAAUUAUAGAAUUGCUAAUAAGUCGUAAUUGACCGACAUAAUAAAUUCAUGAGCAGUCCAAUGACUCGAUUCCAAUCAACAACUAUAUAGAAGCUAGGAGUAGUAAAUUCACUGAAGUGAAAUUUACUGCUUCAGCUCCACACCAACAAUUAUAUAGUAGCUAGGAGUAGUAAUUACAUCUUUCCUCUCAAGUCAAGAAUUCAGUGGGAACAUGAAUUGCAAUCAAUAGAUUAAAAAAAAAAAAAAACCUCAACUUGCAUAAGUCAAGAAUGAAGUGUGAACAUCAUCUUUUCAUUUUUGGUUUGAAAUGAGGGAGGGGUCCAUGCAUGUGUGGUGCAUGGAAUGUGGAGCGUCCGUGUAUUGUUAGCUUUAUCAAUCAAACAGGCUUUUUAUUGCUGUCACAUGUGACCAUCUAAUUAAUGAAGAGGUGGUCCUUGUUCGAGCUUUGUCUACUUCUAUCGAAAGAAACAAAGACCAAAAGCAAGGGAAGAACAUGGGAAGAUAUGUAUGGCCGUUGAAAAAAUCACAUGCUUGCAUUUGGUAAACCUUUAGCCAACUGAUGAGUUUAGGUUCUCAUGUGAGAUAAAUUUAAUUAUUUGAAAUAAUAUUCAUUUUAGGUCAUUUUUUGAACUACUCUAUGCUUUUUUUAUUAUAUAAUAUUCUCGAAUAAUACUAUCAAGCCUUUUUGUUAAUAAAAAUAAAAAUAAAAAAAUGUAAUGGAAAUGAAUCAAUGGAGUCAAGCCUUGGAUUCGCUCUAGAUUUGAGCAUGUAAAAGGAACAGGGUGGUGGGGGCCAUCUGCCAUCAAAAUCAACUUUGAUAAUUUUUCUUUCCUGACUAGUGUUGUGUGGACAAAAGUUAGCACAGAAGUGAUGAGCAAAAAUUUCCUUCGCUUUUGACUAAGCAAAAAAGAAUUAGAAAAAAAAAAGGUGAGAUAUCAUCAAAUCACAUGAAACAUCCGUCGUUAGUGGACACUUUAUACUUUUAAAGUGUAUCUUCAUUAAAGUUGAAACACGGAAAUCCUUUUUUGUAUUAAAUAAUUGAAUAUGUAUCCUUCACACUUAAACGAAGUCUUUCUUAUGAACUUUUCCAUGAAAUAUUGAAUUGUUUUGGAGAUGACUCUACUCUAUGCUCUUUUUUAGAUUAUUCUCAAAUAAUGAUUAUCAAGCCUUUAUAUUAAUAAUAAAAAAAAUGUAAUGGAAAUGAACCAAUGGAGUCAAGCCUUGGGUUCGCUCUAGAUUUGAGCAUGUAGAAGGAGCAAGCUAGUGGGGGCCACCUGCCAUCAAAAUCAACUUUGAUAAUUUUUCUUUCCAGACCAGAGUUAUAUGGAGGGAAGCUAACACGAAAGUAAUGAGCAAAUAUUUCCUUGUGCUUUUGACUAAGCUUGACUAAGCAAAAUAGACAAAGAAGAAAAAAUCAUCAAGUCACAUGGAACAAUCAACCUUAUUGGACACUUUAUACUUUGAAAGUGUAUUCUUAAUUAAAGUCCAAACACGAAAAUCCUCUUUUGGACUAAAUAAUUUGAAUAUGUAUCCUUCACAUUUAGAAGAAGUCUUUUUUAUGAACUUUUGCAUAAAGUAUCCAAUUGUUUUGGAAAUGACUUACACUGACUUGACUGGGAGUAGCACCUCUAAAAAGUGGAUUCCCAGAAAAGGCACCCAGCAAAAAGGGCCCCACAUUAGCAAAAGAUUCUUUGCUCCAAAGUAAUAGAAAAUAAGCUAUUAGCACACCAAUUAAUCAUUUAAAGGUGUUCUCUAGAAAAUUACUCAUUUCUUUAAAUUUAUAUUAGAGUCGUUACAUUAUUUUCAAUUGGAUGAAAAGCUUGAUCUAUUUCCAUUACAAAAGGUUAUAAAAUUGUCUGAUGACUAUUGCUUUAUGAGAUGGGGGAAAAAGUGCAAAAGGAUAUAUGCCUCUCUAUAUUUGGCGCAUGAAUGCAUCAAAUUCCUCCUCUGACACUUGUUAAUCAUACUAUUGUUUAAUUAUAUAUUGUGAUGAAAAUAUAUCAUCAACUCUCUUAAUUUAUCAACAUGUGAUGCUAUGAUAUUUAGCUCUAAAAAUUUCAAAUAAACACAAGCAGUAUUUUGCCCCAAAUAUUGAAUAUGCUUCAUAGUAUUAAGUAUAUACACACAAAUAUAAAUUAAGCAAUUUAUUAAAUAUGUUAUAUGCAUAUAAAUAAAAAGGAGUAACGAUAGAGGAAUCCGGAACCAUUUUAUAGUGGUCCGGUCCAAAUGGGUGCCCACUCCAUUUCCAGAGACUGUUCAAGAUUUAUGCCUAAUCAACUAUACUUGAAGCCUCAAACAAAGAUUGGUUUGCAAUGGAGCCAACAUUCUUCCAUAAACACGGCGCACUCUUUUACAAAGAAAUGCUAUCAUAAGAUUGAUCUCUCAAGAAUUUGAUUGUAAAGUGUAUACAAGAGGAGUAUUGCAAGUACUAAUAGUGUAUAAAAACAAAAAAUUGUUGGCAAAAAAGGUCACCGACCACCCGAUUUUCUAAUAAGGAGUCACUAACACUUUCAUGAAAUAUAUGGUAUGCUUCCAUCAAAUCUUGUGUUAAAAAAAUAAUGUGUAUAAUUUGCUUAAUUAUAUAUAAUGUAAUACAUGAAUCAAAUGAUUAUACGCAUCGGACCUUUGUGGAAUCAUACAUUCAUGUACAUUUGAGUUCAGAUAGAUGGAGUCCCUACCCAUUGAAUAUAACAUAUGAAUGGAAGUGCUGUCCAUUAAUUCAAGUUUUGUCGUUACUCCACUCCUUUUUCUGGUGUGUGUAGAAUGGAGUGUCGGUGUAUUGUCAGCUUUCUCAAUCUAACAGCUCUCAUCCUGUUGUGAUGUGGAAGGAUAUAAUGUGGGACACCGGCCGACAUUACUCAAUUUUGCUGAAGUUAUCUCUAAAUAAGACCAAGGAAAAGAGCUAUACAAAGAUUGUUAAUGUUGAUAUCUAACAGAGAAGUAUACAAAUGAAAGAAAGGAAAGAGAUGAAACCCAAAAAAACAAGAAGAAAAGAUGAGAAGAUUUCUGCUGUUGAAUUUGACUUAGUUGCUAUUGAUUGCGCAUAAGGUUCAACAUUUUACCCACUAUAAAUUGAAAUUGAAAUUUAAAGCACGUUAUGUACUAGCAAAUGGACGUCCAACACAGUAAAAGUCAUUUUUAAUGACGUUUUACGACGUCAAGUUUUUUUUUAUUACAAUAGAAUAUUGCAAAUCUUUGUGAAUCGUCACAAAUAGUAAUAAAAAAUUUCAAACUUGUGGCCUUAAAGCUAUUGAUUACGGUUAAUACUGUAGACCUUUAAAUGCCGAAGCAUGGAGCUAAAGUUGACGGUAGGGGCAUUGUUAAAAAAGUAGGUACAGCUGAGCCUGACACGGUACAUGAGAUGUGAUGUUGGAACAACAACAAGAUAUGAUGACAUCAUGUUUGAUUACAUUGUUUGGCUUUUAAGGCCCGUUUAAUAAUAAUAUUAUUUUCUAGAAUAAUUUUUAAUUUGCAAUGAUUUUUUUUAUUAAGUUCUUAUGAAUAAGUUCUAUACAAAAUAACGUACUUGGUAACUAUACAAAAUUUCUAUUUUUAGAAUAGAAACUUUUUAAAUAAAAUUCUUAAACUUUUUUGUUUCUUCUAAUUUUUUGAUAUUUUUUUGAUAUUUUUCUUAUUUUAUUUCAUUUUCCUUUUCUCUUCUUCUUCUUCACUUCUUCUUCAUCCUUGGUGGUCAGUGAUUGGCUAGGUGAGGUUCAACAAGCUCACUAGGCCACUGGCAAGGCUUGACCUCGCCCUGGCUUGGCGAGGCCCAGCCUUGUGCCAAUUGAUGAGGCCAAGCCUCGCUGUGGCUAGGCAAGAUCAGCCUGGCUAGGCCACCACCAAGUUAGCAUUGACAUCGCCGGCAACUCUCUCGCGAGGUUGCCAGCCCUCGCCAUGGUUGAGGUUAGUGACUAGCCAAAAGGAAGAAGAAUAAUAAUAUGAAAGAGAAAGAGAAAAUAGAAGAGAAAAGAAAAAAAUUAGACAUAAUUCUAUGAAUUGUUCCUGAGAAACAAAAAAUAACUUUUUUUAUGCUUCUUAAUUUCAUUCCAAAUCUAUUCCCAAAAACAAAUAAUAGAUUUUUGUUCUUGGGAACAAAAAAUUUAUCAAACGAAUUUUUAUUUAUUUAUUUGGGUUCUAGGAACAAAAGAACAUAAUUAGUUAUUCGUAGGAGUGUUACCAAAUAGCUCCUUAGCAUGUCAGAGGAAUAUGGGAUUAUUACCGACGUUUGUGUUAGGUUAGGCAAUACAAUAUUUACCUAGUAUUGAUUCCGACGCUUUAAAAGGCUUUUUUUCCCUCAGCCAAUCAAUAAACCGACCAGAAAUCUAGCCUCCAAUCAGGAUUGUACGAAAUAUAGUCAUAGAAUUUAUCUUGACUUGUCAGAAUCAUUAAUAAUUCAGUUAACAAUAAAUCAACGUUAAACAUAUAUUCGUAUCGAUCAUACGUCCAACUAACGCGGUAAAUGCAAUUUUCAAUGGAGAAAAGUUUCAUGCGCAUAUCAUUAACUUUUUAAGGCGCCCACACAUUAUAGUAUUACCGAAAUACUUAUAAUAUUCUGUGUUUUAGGGGCCCUUUUGAAAUUCUUUAAAAGUUACUCAAGGAAAACAACUAUAAUUUUAAAUUGUAAGUAGCAUAUUUAAGUGAGCUUUAUAAUUAGCAAAUGUGAAUUAGGGUCAACAUAGACCUAGUUGUACAUUUUUUUAGUAUAGUUGUGAAAACUUCUUUUAGAUGAAUAUAGCGUGUAUAGUCUUUUGAAGUCCCUUUAGUCAAAAUCACGGAAAAAAGAAUUACGUGACUUUUACUUCUUCGAAAAAGUGAAAAUAUUGAUGUGAAAUGACACCACUUAAAAUUAUCAAGCUCAUGGUUAGAAUCUUCUGUGCAAUAUCAUCUUUAUGCUAUGGAUAGAUAUGCCAUGUGAAUGCACUUGGAUCGAUGUAGCCAAAGUUUUUGCACAACAGAAUUUUUUUUUUCCAAAUCCAGCAUGUGAAUGCAUUGGGAUUAUAGCAGUCAAAGUAAGAUCACGCGUGAAAUAAGAGAGGGAAGAAAAUAAUCUAGCAUGUGAAUCGCACAUGGAUUGAUGCAGCCACAGCUGGAGCACGCGUGGAAAACAUAAAUCUUGACAUUCCUAAAGAGGAUCCACCAAAUAAAGACACAGUGAUUGCACUUUUAAUUAGCAAUUUUUGCAAUUUCACAUACUCCUUGUGAAGAUGAUCUGCCAGACAUAGUGAUUCAAUAGGUAGUAACUAUUGAAGGGAUCAUAUGAACCACAUAUAUCACAUGAGGUACGAAAAAAAGAGAAUACAAACCAUGUAGUAUGUUGUACUCCAUUGAAUAAGUUUGUUCGGUAAAAAAUGUGACUCAGACAAAUAGCAAGUAGAAACCUCCCAAUGAUUUAUCAGCUCACGAUCUCACAUUGAAGGACUGCAUCACUAUUCGCUUCUCCUCAUGUGUUGUCCUUACAACCCACAAUUCCAUUUUCGUAAAAUUAGUACACCAGUACUAAAGUCCAUGACCUUCAUGCUCGAUUUACCUUUACCUUUUUGGGUAUCAAAGGAGGAUGAAUGCUUUUAUCCCAUCGUACUCCGGCUUGGUGCACAACACCAUAUAAUACACAAGUUUGAUCUCAUGGUGGCAUGUAGCGAAGACAAAGGAAUUAGCAUCUAAGCAUUUGUAUUCUAAUUACAUCCAUAAAGAAAAGUAUUGUAUAGAUUGAUUCUAUAAAUUUAGAUAUGGUGCCAUUUGAUUUUCAGAUAGCCUAAAAUGAAAAUGAUUGAUACUGUAUAUUUAUGUUCUUUGAUACACUGAAAAAGCCAUGAGUAUGUUACGAGCAUAUGAGUAUGUAAAAGGGAAAGGGCCUCUAGGUAAUAAUAUAUUCCGCCAAAUUACGAGCAGAUGAGUAUAUAAAAAGGGAAAGGGCCUCUCUAGGUAAUGGUAUUUUCCACCAGAAGCAAAUCUGCAGCAUCGGGUAGAGUAAGGGUGCGUUUGUUUGUGUUUGUGUUUAAAAAUUGUUCUAGGGAAUAGAAAUAGAAAAAAGUGUUUCUAUUCCGGGGAACAAUUUUUGAACAAAAAAAUGCGUUUGGUAAACUUGUUCCGGGAAUAAAAAAUAAACAGAAACAUGUUUGGUAAAUUUGUAUAAUUUUUUUUAUUUCUUUUAUUUUUUUCUAUUUUUUUCUUAUUUUUCCUUUUUUCUUUUUUCUUCUUUUGGCCGGUCGCCGGCCUCGGCCAUGGCCGGCGACCGGCCGGCGGCCUCGCCUAGCCACGGCGAGGCCGAGCUCGCCGGGCCAAUGCUAGGCGACCCCGACUCGCCCAGAUCCGGCGAGGCCUCGCCAGGGGACGGCGAGCCUCAGCCUCGCCGGGGGCCGGCGAGCCUCGCCGUGGCUAGGCGAGGCCACCGGCCCUCGUCAGCCCGACGACCUGCCAAAAGAAAAAGGAAGAAGAAAAUAAGAGAAAAAAGAAAAAAGAAAUAAAAAAAAGUGUUUCUCAAAUGUGUUUCAGAAAUAAGAAACACAAAUUUUGUGUUUCUUAUUUCUGUUUCUUUUUUGUUCCUGGGAACAAAAGAACAAAAAAAUAGAAAAAGUGUCUAAAAAAACAAAAAAAAAACACAAACAAACGCUGCCUAAGAGGCGAAAGGCAAUCUUUCAUUUCAUUAUAAUUAUUACGAAUCUCGAAGUAGAGCAAAAGUCAAAAAAGAAAAACUUAAUAGUCAAAAAGAAAUCGUACGAUAACAAUGAGGAACGAUCUAAACGGCACUGUUGCUAAACCAAAGGAGUAAGGACCAGCCCGUUAGCUUUGUAACAGUGCUGUUAGGCAUGCUGGCCUUACUGUAAGCUUUUUACCCACCCUCAUUAAUUCCAGAUGCGGGAAAUUAUUAUACUUGCUUAUUCAAUAGUAAUCAGAAUGAAAUUUUUAUGUUGUGUUUACUUUCACCACCGCAAGACUAUUAUUUUCUGUUUAUUUUUAUCUUCAUGAUAGAAAGGGAAUAUACGGAUAACAUUAUGGAGUCUUCUAUCUCUAGAAGGAUCUCUCAUCUAUUUUUUUCUUUUGGGCCAUUUAAGGACUUGCUCAGUCCGUGACGUUAACGGUGAGGGACAUUCAAAAUGAAUGUCCCACUAAAUAAGGAAUCAGCAUUUCCCAGGAUUAUAAAAGGGAAUGCGAUGAUGACAAAUGGGAAUCACGUGAAGGAGCAUAUAGAAAUUAGAUUUUCUCUUUUUGUGAAUCUUUCCUGGUUUUCAAAUUAAAAAGCAGCCUUCCUCAGCAAAGGCAUGAUGACCAUCACGUAAUCAUGCAUGUGCUUUCAAUUCAAUUCGCUACAUUUUUUUUUUUUAAUGAUGCCUACCGUGUCACAUCGAUCAAUAUUUUUUUAAGGGAAUCUUUAAGAAGGGAAGUGUACUGCUUUGGGCCUUUCCUUCUUCUUUUGUUCCCCUCUUUACUGUUCGUUGUGUGCUCGACUUUUUUACGCUAGAAACUUCUCGCUGUGUAAGUACUUGUUUUAUGCCUACUCCAUUCGAUUGAUAUCUAGAAUCACGUGGUGGGGGUCAGAGUCUGACACUGGAGUCGGACUCUGAUGACCAGCAACCGGCGUCCAAUGUCCGGAGUUUGACGUCUGACGUUCAACAUCUGGAGUUCAGCGACAAGAGAUUGGCGAGGGGUGGUGGGCAGCUGACAUCUGGUGGCCAGUGGCGAGUGGUGGAGGGUCGCCAGCAAACAUUCGGUGAUUGGUGAUGAACCUUUGGCAUUCAAUGAUUGGCGAUGAGCAGCCAAUGACUGGUGGGUGUCUAGCAUUCAACGACAGGCAACCGGAGUGCGGUGGCCGAAGCAGCCAAUGUCUAGUGGCUGGUGGUCGACGGCUAGUGGCCGACGCCAGUGGCAGGGUCGGCAACUGCCAGCGGGCAUCCGACAUCCCAUGGGCAGCAAGUAGGUGACGGGCGGUGACCAGAGUGAACAAUGAGAAAAAUUUUGAUUUCUCAUUUAUGUUCUAGAAAUAGAAAAACUAAAAAUUUUAACUUUUAAUUUCUGUUCCAAAUCUAUUUCUAAAAUAGAAAUUUGUUUCAGAAAUAGAAAAAUGAAAUUGCGUUAUCAAACGGAUUUCAAUUUCAAACAUGUUAUGGGGAACAGAAAAAUAGAGAAAUAGAAAUUUUGUCAUGCUCGCUCUAAGUGAGCGGGUAAGUAAAUGGCCAAGCAGAAGUAUGAGUGCAUCAACUCGAUUUUCUUGUUCGUAAAUCUCCAUUCUCCGCUACAUAAUUUUAGUGAAAAUUUGCACCUUCAUCACAAACAAAUAGGAGGAGAGAGGAUCACCUGGUCUUAAUCCAUUCUUUCCUAUUAAAAAAGCCAGCAAGCUCUAGACUAACAAUUAUAUAGUAUUUUGUAGGAGUAGUAACGGCAUCUUUCCGCCUAAGUCAAGAACACAGUGUGGGAACACCAAUUGCGGUCAACAUAUUCAAAAAAAGAAAAAAAACCUUUAACCUUCGUAAGUCAAGAAUGUAAUGUGAACACAAUUUGUCUGUUUUCGGUUUGAAAUGAGGGAGGUGUGUGAAAAGUAGAGGGUCGGUUCGUUGUCAUCUUUAUCAAAUCAAACAGCCUUUAUCCUGUUGUGACCCUUGAGGGAAUGUAAUUUUGGGACACUAGUAAAAUUACAAAAGCUUAUAAAAUUAUCUGACGAAUGUUGCUUUAUUAAAAAACAGCUGGAGUAAAUCUCAGUAUAAUUGUGGCGAUGGUGAUGAUGAUUUUAGAGUCCAAAAUUAUCGAUUUGUCAAAUUUAUUCAUAUUUCAAUUAAUAAUAAAUCAAUAUUGAACAAAUAUUUGUAUCGAUCAUGCAUCAAACUAAUGCGGUAAAUGUGAUCUUCAAUGAAGAAAAGUUGCAAGGCCAAAUCAAUAACUUUUUCAGGUAGACACACACACAACAAUAAUAUUACUAAAAGAUCUUAUGAUAUCCUAUGUUUUAGCCAAAGCGGUCCUUUUAACCCUUUUGAAAUCAUAUAAAAAAUACUUAAGUACAACAAUAAUAAGAGACAUAUUUGAGUGAGCAUUAUCAUCAUCAAAAAUGAAAUCUGUAGGUUUUUAGGAUGGUUGUGAAAUUUUUUUUCAUGUGAAUGAGACGUACAUUAGUUUUUCAAAGUCACUUCAGUCACGGUCAAAAAAAAAAAGAAAAGUCACUUCAGUCGAAAUCACUAAUAAAAUGAGUUACGUGAUUUUUACUUCUCUAAGAAUGACAUUGCUUCGAAUAGUCAAGCUCAAGGUUUGAAUCUUCCAUACAUAUCAUGCAUAAGUAACACAUAAAUCAAACGUAAUUAGCCCCUUUAAAUAUUUCAUUUUCUCAACAAAUAAUAAUAAAGUAAAAGAGAGAAGAAAAUUUUCAAAUGUGUUAAUGCACUGUGAAUAAUGCAGCCAAAGUUAAAACACAUGUGGAAUAAGAGAGAGAAGAAAAUAUUCAAAUCUGGCGUGUGAAUGCAGUGGGACCAAUGCAGCCAAAGUUAGAUCACAUGUGGAAUAAGAGAGAGAAGAAAAUUUUCAAAUCUAGGAUGUGUUUGUUUUGCGAAAAGUAAUUUUCAGGAAAAUGUUUUUCUCAUUUUCUAAUGUUUGAUUCAUUUAGAAAAAUGAAUUAACGGAAAAUGUUUUCCUAAUUAACAGAAAAUGUUUUCCUUUCAAAACUUAAAUUUAGGAAAAUAUGGUAUGGACCAUGUGCUAUGUUGUACUCCAUCAAAUAAGUUUUAUUUCAGAAAGAAAUGUUGACUCGGGACAAAUAGCAAUUCGAACCUGCCAAUGAUUUAUCAAGUAUGCUUACGAUCUUACAUUAAAGAAACUAAAUCUUGUCAAGACAAAUUUAAAAAAAAAAAAAAAUGGUCAGAAAGGUAGUCAAGGACCUGUGGGGCCAAUGAGGUGCGAGUUAUCUUGGCUCUCUAGCGGCGAAACUAGUAUCGGUUUGAGGGAGACGAGUUCAAUUCGUGAACGAGAGUUAAAGGAUUUCGUUUUUUGGUUACUUUAAUAAAAAUUAAAGCAAAAAAAAAAAAAAAACGAUUGACCGACGUCUAAAAUAAUAGUACGUGCGUGAGGGCUUGUGUACUUUAAUGUGCACGUAAGGAAAAAAACAAAAACAAACUUAAAAUGACAGAACUUUCGAGUAGUGAUAGUCAUAAUAUGCAAAAGAAAGAAAGAAAACGAGGACAUUUUUUCGACAAAAAGAAGUCAUGAUAUUCCAAAGAAAGAAAGAAAGAAAGAAAGAAAGAAGGGCGAUAACUCAUUGAUUUCAAAUGUCAUUUACUAGAGGGUUAAUACUAAGAAAAAUAUUAAAAUGGUACACCUGUAAUAAAUUUAUUGUAAAUUAAUAACAAAAAUAUGUAACCGAUAUAUUUAUGAUAAAUUUACAAUCAAUUAUUUUCUAUUAAAUUGAAUUGAUACCACUAAAAUUAUAAACCGAUACACUUGUAAUAAAUGAAGGGUAAAACCCAAAACCGAUACACAUGCUAUUUAACUCAGUAAUUAAAUGAUAAAAUUUAACGAAUGAUUAAAUGUAUUAAUUUGGGGUUCUUUGUGAUUAAAAAAUUAAUUUGAGAUAAUAUUGUCAUAAAUAUAUCAAUUUGAGAUUUUUCGUGAUAUUAACUCUUUACUCAAAGCCACAAUCAAGGAUUUUACUGGAGAGCUACUGGAGUAUAUUUUAACUGAGUUGAUAUUCCCAGUUAAUAAUAUACUACAGGGAAAAUAAAUCCAAAAACUAAUAAUAAUAAAAAGGGGCUGGUCCCACGAUCAUUGAUCGGUCAAAUAGAACAGCUUUGACCAAAUAAAUAUAAUUUUUUGCUCGAGUGUGAAACAGAGUAGCAUUUUCGAUCACUUUUCAAUUGUUUGAACCAGUUUUAAAGUGACUAAGUUCCAAGAAGUCGCCUAAAUAUGUCGAUCCUUCAAGGUCGAGUUUCCGAUCGGAGAUAAUUUUGAAAUUUCACAAAAACAGAUUUUACAGAAAGAAAUGACUCCUUAUCUCCAUUCAAGAUCAUUCAAUUAUUAGCAAAGUAUGAGUGAGUACGGCCAAACAAAUUAUGAGUGCGUAAACUUGAUUUUCUUGUGCAUAGGUUGAAAUCUCAAUUGCUUAUUCUCUGCUGCAGAAUUUUAGGGAAAACUUGCACUGUCAUCAGUCUGACUAAUGAAGAGGUGGGCCUUGCAUGAGCUUUGUCUUUAUCUUUGGAGAGAAACGAAGACUGGAAGCAAAGGAGAAGAUGCGAAAAAAAUGAAGGAAGAAACCUUCGGGCACGAUGUGUGGGGGAUUGGUGGUGGUGAUUUGUUUUUGGGAUUUAUAAUUUUUACAAAAAUUUUUUAGGCAAAAAUAUUCAGGUUUUGUCUGUUGGACCAAUCAUACACCUACUAGUUAUCAAAAAAUUGGCCGACCACCCAUGGCAACGAUGUAGUGAUUGGGCGCUAGUUCCUUUUACGAGAGGUCCAGAGUUUGAAUCGCUGCUUCGUCAAGCAAUUUACCCGAGGCAACAAGGGUGAUGGUGACUCUACUGCUCUUUCAGGGUUUACUUCGCCGCGAAAUGGCGCUCGGAGGUUCCCUGGGUACCCAAAAAAAAAAAAAAAAUUUGGUCAAUCAGCAAGCUUGGGCUCCUAUGUAAGAUUGAUUUAGUCAUUUUAGGCAAUUAUUUGAUUAUAUUUAGUUUAGGCUUUUUUUGUAAAACAAGUCUAAUCCAUCUCCUUGUUUAACAUUUUCCUGAAUAAUAACAACUGAGCCGUUUCUGUUUUUAUAUAUAUAAAGAAUAAAAAAUGCCUUGGAAUCGCUCAAGAUAUGAGCAUAUAGAAGGAACAAAGUGGUGGGGGCCACAUGCCCAUCAAAAUCAACUUGAUCUUUUUCCCUUUUCUGAGCAAAGCCGCGUGGAGGGUAGCUAGCACGAAACUGAGAGCAAACAUUUCCUUGCACUUUUGACUAAGCAACAAAGACAAAUAAAAAAGGCGAAAUCUCAUCAAAUCACAUGAAACUCAUAAUGACCGAUAUAAUUAUUACACUCAAUUGACAUUAGCGACGUUUAUAUAUGCAGCAUAAAUUUAGAUAAUAACAAAAUAAGCUAAACUCUAUAUGUAAUGCAUCCCGUGAAUGCUUUACACUUUUGAAAUACCAUUCUUCAUGAAUGUCUAAACGGAAAAAAUUCAUUUUUGGACUAAAUAAUCUGAACAGGAUGUGUUCUUUUAUUCCUAGUCAAAGUCUUUCUUACAAAUUCUCAUACCAAGUAUCGAAUGCUUUUGAAAAUGAUUAGCACUUUGAUUUGAUAGGAAAUGACAUCACCAAGCAUAUGAAUUCCAAAAAAGCAUCCAAUGAAUAAUCCCCUAGUCAAGCGAAAGAUUCAUCACUCCAAAGUAAUAGAAGAUAAGCUACUAGUGUACCAAUUAAUCAUUGAGAGGUGUUCUUCUAGAAAAUUUCUCACGUCUUUGAAUUUAUACAUUAAAACCUACUGCAUUACUUUCAAUUGAACAAAAAGCUUGAUCUAUUCUCAUGCCCGAGCUAUGAAAACGAAAAAGAUAAUCCUUAUCCAAUUUGUAGUUAGAUUGCCUAAUGCAUAGAAAAUGUGAAACCGAUUGUUGGUGAAGGUGUGCUCAUAUCAAAGCCCUUCUCUCAAAUCGGCACAAGUAUCUACAUACAUGCAUGACUAAUACAUCUUGUGUAGGAUGUUACAAUUGAUUUACAUGUCAAAGCUAUCCCCUCGAGUUACCCAAUAGGUCCGCACUCUAAAUUUGGAUUUCUCCAUUCCCAUUAUAUAUUGAUUUAUUGGAAGGCAUGGCAAAAAAUCAUGCGAAUUUUAGCUACCAAAAUGGUAGUAUACAACAAAGCACGCUAGCGACAUUUUCCCGUGCCACAAUACAUCAGUUCUCAAGAAUAGGAUCCCAAGCCGAGCUUGCUGAGCCCACCGGGAGCCCAUCGGCACCGCCUUCUUCUCUCCAAUUUCCAACCACAUCCUCUCAUCUGCCUUGCCCACAAAGCUGGAAAUUAAUAUAAUAUUCUUUGUUGACCCUCAAAAAAGAAAGUCAUGACUCUGCGUGCAAAGAAAAUACCGAGAAGAUUCGAUGGGGAACAAAUCUCACUUAUUGCGAAUAUCAUUUCCUGGAAGCCACAACCAAGUACUUUAUUGGGUGGCCAAUGGAGUAGCUUACCUUUUAAGAUCUCGCUUCAUCCUUUAGCACCUUCAUUUUCCAAGCAAAUACACCAGCACCUGCCUCCUUUUACCAAAUUAUGAUGGCCUCUUCUUCUUCUAAAGCUAAUAGGAAUUACGAUGUCUUCUUGAGUUUUAGAGAUACCGAUGUUCGCAACAAUUUUCUUAGUCAUCUCUACAUGACUCUAGACCAAAAUGGCUUAUUCACUUACAAGGACAGCGAGGAACUGAGAAAAGGAGAGCAAAUAUUGCCAGCACUUAUGAAGGUGAUUGAGGAAUUGUGAGUCGCGAUCAUCAUUUUCUCUUAGGAUUAUGCUUCCUCACCAUGGUGUUUGGACGAGCUGGUGAAAAUUAUGGAGUGCAAAGCAUAGAAGAACCUAGUUGCGCUGCCGGUAUUUUACAAGGUGGAACCAAGAGAAGUGAGAAGGGGGAGAGAGAGCUAUGGGAAAGCUAUGGCUAAACAUGAGUCCAACUUUGGGACGGAUUCAGAGAAAGUGAACAGAUGGAAGAGAGCUCUCUUAGAUGCCGGUAACUUAUCUGGAUGGGAUUUGAACGAUGGGUAAGUAGUAAUUGAUGUAAAGCACCACUUUGUCAUUAUUUUUUAUAUGUUGAAUCACAUCUUUUCUCUCCAACCAAAUAAUAAUAAUAAUAAUAAGAUCUUUUUUCCCCUUUUUUUUUCUUUUAUGAAACUUAAUCUUACCUUUAAACCACCAAAUCAAUGUAUCAAGUACUUUUCUUGAUUUUUCCAGAGAUGAAGCAACACUUAUAAAGGAGAUUGUGAAGGAGAUCUCUAAGCAGCUAGAACCCACGCCCUUUCAUGUUGCAAAGCAUCCGAUCGCCAAGUGGAAAAGCUGGAAUCAAUGUUAAAUAUUGAGUCUGAUGAGGUUCUCAUGAUAGGAUUAUGGGGACAAGGAGGCAUAGGGAAGACUACAUUAGCAAAAGCCCUUUAUAAUGAUAACUUUAAACAAUUUGAGGGUGCAUGUUUCUUGGCAAACGUUCGAGAAGAUUCAAAAGAUUCCAAGGAUUUACUUCCUUUGCAAAAAAAAAAAAAAUGUUGGAGAUAUUAUUGGGAAAAGAAUUUAAUUCAACACAGACUUUGCUGCAAAAAGGUUUUCCUUGUUUUUGAUGAUGUCGAUGAUGUAAAACAGUUAAAUGCUUUAGCAAGAGAAUGUGAUUGGUUUGGCAAAGGAAGUAGAAUCAUCAUUACUACUAGAGAUAAUCAUUUGCUAACUUCCCAUGGGAUAGAUAAAGAUCAUAUCUAUGCAGUUAAGCCUCUAAACAAUUGUGAAGCUCUUGAACUUUUUAAUAAGCAUGCUUUUUUGAGAUACGACAGAAUAGUGAUAAGGAGGGAUCUUGUAGAUGGUGCUUUGGAUUAUGCUAAUGGACUUCCUUUAGCACUUGAGACACUGGGCUCUUUCUUAUGUGGUAGAGAAGAACCUGAGUGGGAAAGUGCGUUGAACAAACUUGCCAAAAGUCCUAACAAAUCCAUCAAUGAAGUUCUUAGGCUAAGUUAUGAUGGACUAGAUGAUGAAGAAAAGGAGAUCUUCCUUGAUAUUGCAUGUCUCUUAAAGGGGAGAUAUAAACAGGACAUUGUGAAGGUUCUUGACUGUUGCAACUCUUCCACAACUAUUGGAGUAAAUGUUCUUGUAGGGAAGUCUUUGAUAUAUGAAGAGGGUGGGGGGGGGGGGGGGGGCUACAAAUGCAUGACUUAAUUCAGUUGAUGGGCAUGGAUGUUGUUAAACAAGAAUGUCAUGAUGAUCCUGGAAAACGUAGUAGUUAUGGCUUUAUGAUGAUGUUCGUGAUGUUUAGUCAAAGUAUAUGGUAAGAUUUAUUGGUUUAGAUAAUGAUUUUACUCUUUCAUCCUAUGAUUUUUUUUUAUUUAUUUUAAUUGCAAUAUGAUUUUUAUAAAUGCAGGGAACGAAUGCAAUAAAAGCCAUAGUUUUGCGUUUACCCAGGACAAAAUUGUUAUACAUAGGCCCAAGUGCUUUUAGAAACAUGACAAGGUUGAGGGUGCUCAUCGUGAUUAAUGUGCACAACUCUUUUCAAGGUCCUAUGUGUCUUCCUAAUGAAUUGAGAUAUUUUGAAUGGCCUGAAUGUCCUCCUUGGAUUCCAGAAUUUUCCUCGGGUCCAAAGAAGUUAGUUGGACUUAAUCUUAGUGGAAGCAACGUCCAAGUAGCGAGGACGCAAUUCAAGGUGAGCAUUUAAAUGCAUAGUCUUUAUUUCCUUAUAUUUUAUAUAUCCAUUUUUAUAUGGAUAUGAAUAUGGAUAUGUUGUAUUAUUGAACCCACCGGUAGGUAGCUGUGUUGGUUGAGAGUUUUUCCCCCGAGAUAUCGACGCUUGGUCCGAGGUGCCAUCUAGGCACUGUAUGGGCCAUGGGUUGCCGAUUAGUGUAAGCGAAAACUGGGCCUGUCGGUUAUUGAAAAAAAAAAUGCUGUAUUAUUGAAAGCUUUGAAUGCAACAAUUAAUAACUCUGAUGGUGCUUGUUAAUAUGCUUAAGAAACAUCUACAUCUAUUAAAUUGUACGCAUUUGAUUAAAGCCUUAUAUAUGGGAUCUCGAUCUACUCCAUGAACCAACAUAAGUGGAAUCUUUCCGUUAUAGGGGAGUAUUAAACACUUCCCUUAUGCGAAUCUUGAUUUUGCUUCGAACCAAAAUAUUCAAGAAAAAAGUCCAAACUUAUUUGCAAAAUAUUUAGUAUUGAAAAUUAUAAAAACAGAGAACUUAACGAAUCGGUAACUUUUGAAUACCGAAAAUUGGGGCAAAAAGUAAUUGGUGAUAUAAUUUAGGGAAUGAAUGAUGAUUGUGCUUGAAUUUUCAAUAUACAUCAAGGAAGGAUUUAAUUUUAUGUUUUUGAAAGGAUAGAUUUUGAAAAUGUUCUUAAAGGUUCUACCCCAUACAGUAGAGACAAGCUGACUACACUCUUUUGGAAAUUGCGCUUGUAAAGAGAAAGAUAUUUUUCUUGCAUAUUUGCUUGACCAUUGAAGUGGGUGCACGCUAAAUGCUUUUGACUGAACCUUCCAUUGUCCCCUUUCUGAUUGCAUGGAGCGGAUAAUGAAAAGAUACAUAGAAAAUGUGCAGUAAGGGAUCUGUAUCGGAAGCUAGUCUUUACAUAGGUAGGUACAAGCUUGAUAAUUCUAUAACAGUGGCCGAAAAGUCCUGUCUUUUUUCGGUUGGACUAACCUAAUCAGCCAUUCCUAACUAAUAUUUCUUUAUCUUUAGAGGGAGGAAGAAGUGGAACUAAAAGAAAGCUUUUUUUUUUUAAAAAAAUCUUUAUAGAUAAUAAAUUCAUUUUCAAAAAGUUGAAAAAUUUUACCUAAAAAGUCUCUCCUCUUUCCCGUCUUUUUUUUUUUUCAUUCGAGCCAUCCACUAAAGCCCUUACUCUAUUUCUUCGAGAGGUAACGAAACACGGGAUUGAAGCGAUUCUUCACAUCCCCUUGUUGGGUGUCCUCUAGCCUAGCAGUAGAGCAGAAGGGGAAAUAGAUUGAUAAUCCAAUCCUUUCUCCUGCUUAAAUAAAAAGAAGAUUGUGGAGUACGACUCCAUAGAAACGACUUCCUCUGCGAGGUGUUAGUGCUCUUCAGCUGGCUUCAUCUGGCACUUCGAAGCCAGCUGAAGUAUGCACGCCAUAAGUGCGCAACAUCUUUCAAGCUUGACCAAAAGGGUUUUUGUAGAGAGAAGUCAGUAAUAGGCUCACUUCGCUAAUUUAAAUAUACUUAAUCUAAAUCUAUUCUAAGGUUUUUACAUGUAUUAUGUAUUUGUAAUUAUAUUUAUAUGCAUAUCAUCUACAUUAGUAUAUAAAGCCAAGAGGACGUUCCACAGGAUCUCAAUUUUGUUUCUUCACAAAAAUGUGUCGAUUACUUAUUUUGCAAACAUUUUAUCCACAGAAAAAUGCGUAAGUUAAUAAGUUUAUUUAAACUCUCACAUGUUUCCCAUUAGGUGCUUCUAAUUUGGUGGUUUCUCUCAAUUUUUCAAAUAUCAAUUAUAGUACUAUAUUCAUAAAAAGGCGCAGUGAUGAUUGAUGAUAGAACACGAGCAAGGGAUGAGCUCGCUGGAGGUCGGCGAGGCUCAAGCUUGCAUGGCCUAGCAUUCAGCCAAAGAAUAAGAAAAAAUAAAAAAAUAAAAAAUCAAUUUUUUGAAAAAAAAGAAAAGAAAAGAAUAAAAUAAAGAAAUAAUAUUUUUUAAAGGAGUACACGAACCAAACGAUGAAAAUUAUUUUUUAAUUCAUUUUCAGGUUUCAAUCGAACAUUGUAAAUAUUAUUAUUUUUUUUAAAAAUAAAUUCUUAAAAAAUAUUUUCUAAAAAUGUCACAUUUUUUUCAAAAAGAACGGAAUCAUUGUCUUUCAAUUUCCUAUCGUACUUCUCAGUCCCACAGACUUUGGAUUGUGUUGUGUUGACCGAGCAAAUAAAAAAAAGGGUUUUUUUUUUUUAAUCUUUGUGUGGUGGAAAACACCACAACGAAUAGGAAGGACGAGACUGGAUAAUCUAAGUCUUCCUCAGCCGAAUCACCACUUUCGUAUGCCACUCGAAGGUCUCAACACUCUCUUGAUCACUCGUGGACACAAGGAAUCCACUAAAGGGCAGGCAGACAGACAAAGGAAAAUCUGUAAGGGACAACACCCGGGAAUAAAGCUUCAUUUUAAUAAUGCUGUGUUUACAAUGUGGGACCAAGAUGAUGUUUAUAGCUAGUAGCCUAGGAUACCUUUGAAUAGCCUCCAAGUUAAGUAAAAAUAACCUACCUAAUUUUCGAAAUUCAAGUAUGCAAUAAUAUAAUCAAAAUUUUGAUCGAGAUCAAAGCAUUCCUAAAUAUAAUAUAAACAAACUUAUAGAUCAAGAAAAUAUAUAUUUUCUCUACUAUUCAAAUCACAAGAGAGGAUCUUGAAAUCUUCCCAUACGGAUUCGAAGUACUUCCAAUAUAAAUCUUCCUCCGUUGAAAAAGACUCAUCCUCAAGGCCAACUUUAUGAAGCUCCUGGUCUUCGUGAUACGAAGAUAGAUUAAAUUACAUACUCUCCCUGAAGCUCACUUUUGUAACCACCUCAUUUCUUUAGCUCUUUCUUCAGAAUAUCCACUAAAUUAGCGCUUAGUGGGCAGUGGCAUAAGAUCCAAAGAACUUCAAAGAUGUUUGACUCACCGAACUAUCAUCUGCAAAUUCACCUUGAAACAAUAACAAAUGUCAUUGUUUAAAAUGUUUUCCAAUAGUCUACUUAAUAAUUGCCCAAAAUUCUAUUAACAGCCUUAGUUUUUCUAUCGGUUUGAGGAUGGCUAGCAAAAUUAAACUAAGGUUGAGUCCCCUCUUUUCACCAUAGGGAAUGCCAAAAGUGACACACAAAUUUGACGUCACUAUUUGAAGGGGGAUGUUUUUGGAAUACCAUCUAGGCACACGAUUCACCAAUAUGAAAAUAACAUGUAAACCAUCGAGGCUCCAUGACGAUCAUUUUCAAAUUUUUUACCAUAUAAAAACUGUCCGGUAAUCCCCUUCCUACUAAUAGUAACAUUUCCAUUCACAAUGCGCAUGUGUGUGGGAAAGUGUUGAUUAGGUUUCUCUCAAUUGUGGAGUUUAAUUGACAUUCUUGACUUGCCCUAUAUAAACACUCACCACCUUUAUCGAUACGCCUUCAAAUACAAUUUUAGAUAUGACAUUUCAAAUCUCAUUUCUUAGACUCCCUUUCAUUUAAUAUUCUUUUAGUCCUUCGGAAUGAUGUGCUAUAAUUUUAGAAAAUUCAUUGAAAAUUUACCAUAUCGAAAAUAUCCAAAUCAUUAUGGAAUGAUAACUCAUUGAUAAAGGCGUCUCAAGAAUAAAGUAGUUAAACCUUAAUCAAAAGAAGGCGCAAAAAGACUUACCAUGUAUUUGGCGGACGUGCACCAUAAAGGUUUAAUAAAUCACAAAUGAAAUUCAUUUGAUUGAGAUGUCAAAGUCUAUCGAUGCAUCUAUAUUUUUUAUUUAUGCAUACAAAUGCAAGGUAUAAAUGUGGUGGUUGUAUUUAUUAUGAUAUAGUAAACUUUGAGCUCUUGCAUUACGCCAACGUACAUCUAGCUCAAAACAAAAAACUACACAAGACGGUUGGACUCCAUUAUUUUUCAUAUUUUUGUUAUAUUUAUGACCAUCUAGGCUUACAAAAUAUGUCUUCUUUUAAAAAGCGAUCAACCACUCACCACUUCCAAAUAAGUGAUGAAUAGAAGAGAUUCCCGACCUUCCACUGCCUCUGCGGGAUCUACAAGCGGGUGGUUGCGAAUCUCUACAUAAGAUUCCAGAAGUUUGCUUAAAUGCAUGUGAUUGUUAAGUUGGCAAAAGACUGAACGUGGCUCAUGUGCUCUCGCUUGAGGUUACACACUCUUAGUGGAAGUGUCCACGCCAUUCUAGUGCAUAGUGAAAUUAUGAGCAUUGGUAAAUUUACAAGGAUUACUUACUAAACUCAUAUUUAUAAAGUGAGAGGUCAUGCUCUAUAUAUACUAUAUGGUCUAGUGAAUUUUGAUAACAAAUGGCUUGAAUUAUGAUUGAGUGAUUUUUAUUUAAAAAUCACAGCCAAAUUUUGAAAUGAAUAUAUAUCUCACUUUUUUUCUUUGAUCGUUUGAAAUGCCUAUGCAUGUUGGAUUAUUGUUCUUGUAGGACUUUAAAAAAUUGAAGUUCAUUGACUUGGGUAGAUGCCAGUCAUUGGUUUGCGUGCCGGACCUCUCUUGUACUCCAAAUCUUGAGGAAUUGGAUCUCUAUUAUUGCAAAAACUUAGAGCGUGUCCACGAUUCAAUUGCAAAUCUCCAUAAGUUAUGGAAAUUGAAUUUAGAAUGGUGCUCUAAAUUGCAAAGAUUCCCUGAUAUUCCAAAUAAGAACGAAAGCUUGUGAAAAGUUUAUCUAAGGGAGACUUCAAUUGAAGAACUUCCUGCAUCAAUAGGAAAUCGCGUCUCUCUCGAGACCCUUGAUUUAUUUGGUUGCACGGAACUAGCAAUCCUUCCAUCUAGCAUUUAUAGGUUGCAAAAUCUUGAAUUCCUGGGACUUUUGGGCUGCUCAAAACUAAUCAAGUUUCCAAAGGAAGAGGAAGAUUUGAGUGAACCCCAUGCAAAGAUAGGAUUUUCAGAGUUGUUUGUGUUGAUUCUUGGAUGGUGCCAUCUAUCAGAAGUAGAGUUCCUAGAAAAUCAUUCUUAUUUUCCAUGCUUACGAUGAUUAGAUUUGUCGGGAAACAAUUUUACAAACCUUCCUACAUGCGAAAGACUAAAUAACUUGGAAGAUUUGGAUGUUUCAUAUUGCCAACAACUACAAGAGAUCCCCAAGAUUCUAGAGAAAUUGAGAAGACAAAAGGCAAAUGAUUGCAAAUCUCUAUAUAGAAUUCCCUCCAACAUAUGUGACGUUGAGGAUGUUGAAUUAUAUUCAAGUCGGGAACUAGGUUGAAGAAGAAGGGGGAGUUUAGAAAGCCAUGAGAGAAUAUAACAAAACACUUACUUUACUUCAAGGGACUCUGCCCAACACAAUACAUCAUCUUCGCCUUAUAUAGCAAAAGAGGUCACAAAGCAACAAACAAGUAAGGACCAAAGUCCUUCGAACCAACAAAGGCGCUGGGAAAGACACAAACACCGAAAUUCCCGGUAGGGAAUUAUUUGCACACUAUGAAUAGUGACUUCCUUAGCCUAGUAGCCUAAAGCUACAGUAUCCUACUAUGAACUUUCAACGGUCUCUUUCGUCAUGAGCAUUGUAGUCAUAGUUGGAGUCGUCUGAGCUGUGCACUGUUGCUAGGACAUGUUCAUCAUGUUUUUGUUUGAGUGCUUCAAGGUCUUUUGGUGAGAGAAUCUGGUUCAGCUGAUGUGAUGAGGAUGAUGUUGCUGAUGCGAUGAGGAUGAUGUUGCUGAUGCUAACUCCUAUGCCUAAUCUAUAGUGUCUUCAGUGUCUUCAGCCAAUUGGAUGGUUGUGCAUAGAAAGAUGUGUUGCUUUGGGAUAAGGUCAAGGGUCCAUGAUCAUAAGAGUCUUGAGAAAGGUAAGGGUCUUGAGAAAGGGGAUCUCCCCAUCUGGCAUAGGGAUCCUGAGUGGACUGGUCCUGAAAGGAUUGUGCAAUAUCACUUGUUUUGCCAACUGGUGGUCUUGUGAUGAUGACGCUUGUCUGAAAUCCUGGAGUGCCUGCUUAGCUUUUGGUGCUAGGUCAUAAUGAUCCCAUUCGGUGGGUACAUUAUAAUUUUAUACAUUCGGAGGAAUGGUCUUGUUUUCCUAGCAUAAAAUUCUCUGGAGUUCUCGAUACUGAUGUUCACAACAUCCAACUGGUCCUUGAUAGGAUAUGUGAAUUCGAGUUUCUGUGUUGAGUGGCCAGGGUUUAUAGGAUGUGGUUCCUAUAAUUUGAGGAGCUUUGAUAAUGUUGCCAUUAUUGGCGACAAAAUUCCAUGGUCGACGGAAGAAUAAAAUUGUAUAGACUUCAGGAUUUGGCUAGGUGAUUGUCAGUUCUUUUUGUAGGAUAUAUUUCCAGUGAGUGGGAGGAUAAAACCAGUUAAGAAAAUCUAAGAGAUUUCUGUCACUUUCUUUUUUGAUUUUACUUCUGCCUAAUUGAAAUAUCCCGGUGAGAUUGGCAAUGAAUCCUCUGCUUGGAAUUUCAAUGUCUAUAAAGUACUUAUUGGUUAAGUACCAUAAUAACCAUCGUUGUUGAUCAGGAAAAUCAUCUUUCUUCCAAAUCAAAGGAUGGAUAAAUGGAUAAUUUGCAUUUAAUCUAAAAGGAUAAAGAAUCGAACCUCCAUUGGAUCUGAAGAGUUCCGUGUGGCAUUACCACAUAAGUUUGUCUAGGUUUUCAGUGAGGUUGUCAUUCUGGAUGUAUUUGAUGAUUUCCUUUGGGAAUUUCCAACUUGGCCAAUCUUUGAUCUUUUGAAUUUUAUACUUCUCAUUCCAAUGAGAAGUAUGAAAAGCAUGCCGCAUGAUAUAGUUGAUUUCUGCUUGUGCCUUUGGUCUUGACAAAAACUUAGUAAGCACAUUCUUUUUUCCAACAAUGUGUUUGGUUUCAAAAGAAUAUUUUGAAAACUAUUCAGCUCAUCUAAGAAGUUGAGAAUUGGGAACUUGCUUCUGUUUGAACUUAGUCAUCUGAGGAAAUGAUGCCAUGUCUAGUUUAACCAAGAAAUGAUGGCCAAUAAGAUGGAAUUCGAACUUUUUUAUACCAUUUUUGACAAAGUGGAAUGAUAAUACAUCUCUGCUUGAGAAAACUUUUCACUUUUGUAGGCACAUAGAUGUCUCUUACCAUCAAUUUCUUCAACAAGAUGGCUGUCCAGUAUUCAUCACUGGAGUCAGUUUGAAGAAUUCUUAUUCCUGUUGAUGGGAUCUGAAGUGGAGGAAGAGUUUGCAUGAUCUCUUUAAGUUCAGCGACUACUUCAAUCUGAGAUUUUCUCUAAGGUGGGAAUUUCUUUUUCAACAUUGUUUGCAACAGAAUAAGCAAUUUUGCAAUAUUUGGAACAAAAUCCCUGAGAUAAUUGAUUAUCCCAAGAAAUUGCCAAACUUGUCUUGCAGUGAAGUUCUAUUCAGGAAAUUUUAGCAAUUCCUAAGCAAUAUGUGGCCUUGGGUAAUAUGUACCUUUGUUAAUAUGCAUACCAAGAAAUUCAAUUUUUGUUUGGGCAAUAUUUAUCUUUCUUUGAGAAAGCAUGAUUCCAUAUUUCUUCACAAUUUCUGCGAACUGUGCAAGAAGCUAGUAGUGCGACUGCUCAUCGGGGCUGUAGAGCAGGCUAUCAUCAAUGGAUAUUGCCGCAUUCGAUAAUAUUGGUUGGAAAAUUUGACACAUGACUUUCUGGAAUAAGGAUGGUGCUACCUUUAGACUAAAAGGAAGAACUUUCCACCAGAAGUGCUGGUUUGGACAGAACACUAUCUUGGGUCUGUUUUCGGGAUGGAUGCCCAAUUGCCAAAAUCCGGCUUUGAGGUUGAAUUUGGAAUAGAUGUGGGCCUUGAUUAAGCCAGUAAAAAGGGAAUCUUUGGAUGGUAAAGGAAAUUUGUCAUCCUAGAGGAAAAGGUUAAGAGGCUGGUAAUUAAUUACCAAUCUCAUCUUUCCUCUAUUUUGCUUGGCACACCUGUUGACAUAAAAAGCUUCACAAGCUCAUUGAGAAUUAGAAAUUUCAAUAAGGCCUUGCUGUAAUAAUUUCGAGCAUUCCUUUUGAGCCAAAACCAGGUGUUCUAGCUUUAUUCACACGUGACUUGCCUUUGUGGGAUUGAUGUCUUCAUUUUUUUUUAAAGGAAGACGAACAAAAAAGUCUGGAUUUGUCCAUAAAGGAUGGGAACAUUUUUGGGCAAAUUCAUAAUGAGAUUCUGAACAUGAUUCCAACAACUUCAGCAUGAUUGGGUCUAACAAAUUCAUGUGAAUGGAAAAGAGUCUCUGUAUAUUAACAAAUUCAGAGAAUUGGUCUUUAUAUUUAGGACCUUUUCUAGGAAUAAUGCGAAGUUGUGGAAUUUGAGUCAUGAUGUCCCAACCAAUGAUCAAAUCUUUGUUGGGGAGACUAGACCCAAAGAUUUUUGUGGUUAUGGAGCACUGAGGGAAAAACUGAAUGGUUACUGGAGUAGUUUUGAUAGUUGUAGAAAAAGUAUCUCCUGAGGUAGAAUUGAAGUAUCGGACACAGGGAGUCUAAUAUUCUUCAAGAAGAACUUUAGUGUCAAGGAUGGAAGAAGCUGCUCCAGUAUCUAUGAGAGCAAUGACAGUGAUUGGUUUGACAAACUUGGAAGUGAAUAUUUUCACAGGGAAAUGAGAACAAUGAGUCUGACUUGAAAAUAUAUUAGUGCUUUGUUUUGAAGAAGUGCGAGAAAAAUGGGAAAAAUCUUCAGGAUCCAAAUCUGAAUCAGUGUCACUAGGAGUUUGGUAACAAGGAAUGACACAAAGAGUUUGUUCAUAUAGUUUUUCAUCCGUAGAAAAUAAGGAUUUGAUAUCAUCAUUUUCAAGAGAAAUACCAGUUUCAUUCUUUAUAUAAUGUAUUAAACGAUUCUGACAUUUUUUCGCUUGAGGAUAAUUUUUUGCAAAAUGUCAUUUAUGAUUGCAGAUGAAGCAUCGACUUGAUUUCUUAUGGCCUAAACGAUCUUUUCCUUUGUAGGUAACGCCACUUUUUCUUUCUUCGGAAGUGCUUGGAUCCAUGUCUGGAAUUCUUUUUCCAAAACGUCUUAAAGUGCUUCUUUUUUCUGGAAGGUUUUCCACAAGAAUCAUCACAAUCUCGCUUGAAGCAUUUUAUCUUUAGCUUCUAGCGAGAAUAGGCUGUGUCAAGUCCUCUGUUAUCAUGGACAUAUAAGCCUGGAUCUUUUGACGCUUUACACACAAUUCUUCUAGGCAUAAAUGAAUUUCUUGCUGAAUUUCUCCUAAUGGAACAUCUUGGAUUCGUCUUUGUUUGGCUAGAAAGGUUUUUUUCUAUCAUUUGAGACAAUUCUUCAGGGAUGGACGCCAAAAAGACAUAUUUUAGAUUUGCAUCAGCUCCAACCUGGUAGAAAAGUUUAAGCAUUUAUUUAUUUUAUUUUAUUGGUAAAGUGUAAGAAUAUAUUAAGCAAAGGACAAAUAUACAAAAAUUCGAAGCCAAAGCUCACACUCUAGCUGUGGGAAAACAGGGAGAGUGAGAGGGAGCCAAAUCAAAAGAUACAAAGGCAAAAAGAACAAACUAAACAACCCAUGGCACUACAAACUACCACAAACCAGACUGCCGACCCACAAAGUUUAAGCAUUUCUUGAUAAUGCUUAUCCAAAUCUUUUCUCUGAAAAGAGCAGCAUUUUCACUCAAAAAAAUCUCUUCUUUUGAGUUCUACAAGGUCAAUAGGUUUUCUGACAAAGAAAUGAUAUAUAAGAGUGAUGGCAUACGUAAAAUUUGGUGAGAGCAAAAAAUGAAGUUGGUCUUGUUCUGAGACAGAUGCCCACCACAUUUUAAGACUACCUGUAAACCUUGUGACAAAAUUGAAGAUAACAUUAUACUUGUCCUGGUUGAUUAUGGCUUGAGUAUUCAACCAAGUAUGGAAUUCUUCAAGUCUUUCUGGCCAUUUAUAGUAAGGGAUAUCAUCAAUAGUAAAAAACUGUUUUGAUGAAAUGGGUAUAUUCUGGGAGGAGUUAUUUAGCUGGACGACUUCUGGUUCAGAAGAAUUUGAUUCCAUAUCAUAGUUUGGUGGAUCAACCAUGAAAAUUGGAGAAGUCACAGGCCUAAUGGGAGAAGGAUCAAUGGAUGGUAUUGAGACCGAUGAUGAGGACAAAAGAGAUAUCGAAUGUAAUUCAGUAUAAAUUUUUUUUGGAAAUGCAGGUGAUGCUGGGAAUAGAAUAUGGUCUGUUGGUAUGACAUGAUCAGGCUGUUGAGUAACAUGAUUGGGUUGUUGUUCAUGGUUACUUAAAUCUCUUAGAAAAGAUUCUAAUGGAUUUGAUAGAAUCAUUUGAUUUGGCUCUCUUAUAACAAGAGAGGAUUCUGCAGGCCUCUUCUCCUUUCCUUUUUUGUUCCUUAUGCGAUCCGGUUCUUUGAGACGAUUUCUCAUUUCAGCCACAUCUGUCUUGUUUUGUGUGACAAGAAUGUCUGCAAUUGCAGCAAAAAUGGAUGUUUGGGGGUGGUGAAGGAAUGAUAGAAGUGUGGGAAGUUGAAGCAAAAAUAGAAGUCUGGGGUGUGGACGCUUGAAGUGUCGGGAAAGAAGGGUAUUCUAUUCGUGGGGUAAUUGAAAAUGGAUUAAGUCUCCUUUCUUGAAGGAUUUGAAUUUGCCUUUUAAACUUUUUUAUUUUUGCAUCAAGGCUUUCAAGAGAAUGAUACCCUAAAUGUUGUUCAGAUUCCAAGCAUGCAGCCUCUUCUGGAAAUCUGAAAGCAUCUUCUUGGUGGUUUCAUCAUAUCGUCGAAGAUCUUGUUGCACAUUCCAAAGCUUGGAAUCUAUUGCUUUAAAAGCAUUGUGCCGAAAGAGUUUCCGACUGCCAAUUUAAAACAGCUUCAACCACUGGAAUCUUUUUAUGUCUACCAUGUUCAUCCACAUCUGUAGGGGUAGGUAUCUUUGGAACAUGCCAAUAUCUACCUUGUGGAUCGAUAAAUUCCUCUGAGUCAGGAAAAUAGAGUUUUGAAUUUUCUCAUGCAAGAGGAGGAAAGUCUGUUUCAUGGAACAUGACGAUGGAAGAAGUUGGAACUUCUUUUGGACUAAAAAGUGGGUCGGAAGAAAUUGGUGAAACUUCUUUUGGAGUAAGAAGUGGGUCGAAAUGCUUUUUUGCCCACUUUUGAAUCAGCUUGUAAAAUGGGGAAAGACUUGGCUUUUUCUUAGGAAGAGACUUUUCCUUAAGAGGAGACGGAGGAGGUGAUGGAGGAGGAAUUGAUGCUUUUGAAGAUGAAGCCACAAAUUGUGGAGGUGGGGUUGGUGCGUAGGAGACCAUAAACUGAAACUUGUCACUUUCACCAAGCUCCAUUAAGAUACUUUUGGUACAAAGGGUCCUUUGGCCUUUUAGGUCUUCAUCGAGAUCUAUCAUAUACCUGCAGGAAAAUUGAUUCUGGCCUCAUUGGUUCUAAGUCUAGAUCCAUUCACUAGUAUCAGAGCUAUGGUUUCGUUUCUAACCAUGUCCGUUCCAUGCGCUUAGUAGGUGAAUCUAGUGUUGAGAAGAUCUCUUCACACCAUGACAGAUCCAGAAAUAAUUGCAGCACCCGUUACUCUUGCUCCCUCUCCAUCUUCUUCCACCUCUUCGGAUUUUCGUGUUUCAAAUGCGUCUAAGAUAGACUAUCUUUAUGAAGUCUCUCUUAGUGAUGAAACCAAAAUUUCUGAAACUCAGCUUCCCCUCAUGAAUCCUUAUUCUGCUUUUGCCAAACCCACUUCAUCAUUUUCUCCCAUCCGUUCUAUACGACAACUUAUUCGCCAAAUCCCAAAGGAGGUAAAGGAGUACGUGCAGUCCACUAAGUUUAAUCAACAUCCAAUCCCUGCUACUGAAAAAGAGUACUUUGUUACUCUUCAAAUUCCUCCUGAUUUUCCCAGACAAUGGGCUCAACAAGGUUACUCUCAUGUCUAUUAUGGAGCCGUUCGUCUUGCUCUUACUUUUCAUGGCCAAAAAUGUUUGCCAGUUGUCGGAAGAAUAGCACUAUUGGAUACUCGUUUUCUCUAGUACCAACAUGCUUGUAUUGGCACUGUUUAGACUACGUUGAAUGCUAGAACAGUUUUUGUGACUUUGUAUCCAAAUUUCAACAUAGCUCUUUCAGAUCCACAGUUGCUUUCUUUUUUGAAGGUUCAAGUUCAGCUUACAGGAGCACCUUAGACUGCUGAUUCUGUUGCGGCUACACUCCACUACUAGAUGGUUUAUCGAGUGCAAAAUCAUGCGCUUGACUUAAACUUCAACAACAGAAAUGAAGAUGCCUUAUUCAUUUCCAUGCAAAAUGAUCAAGCAUCCUGCAUCCAUGUCCCCAGACAAAUUCCAAAGAAAAGUUGGCCACUCUUCUUCCAGAAACGUGGAUUAUGCACUAUGAAAAGCUUCAUCAGAAUAACAAGCCUUUCCAGUCUACGGAUUCUGAAUUUGUCAGAAAACAUGAUAGAACUAUUUCUAUCAAAUUUGGCAAGGAAAAGGAAGAAAGCCCUUCUAUCUUCCAAACUCUCUUUAUGAUUGAACCAUGUGUUCCUGAGUAUAUUUCCGAGCAAGAUCCAAAAAAGCUUGUCAAAUAUUUUAAAAGUGAUGAACAUCCUAUCCAUUAUUAUAAAGACAAGCAUGGCAAUUGUUUUUGGGAUCAUUUUUGUCAAUGCUCCUAUUGCUUAAAUUCUCCCGACGGUGUGACAUAUAGCUUGCAUAUUAGGUUGCAUGUUGCAUGUCAUUGUAGUUAAAAUUUUUGUACAUUGCAAGUAUUUUUCUAGACUUCAUUUAAAUAAGAGAAAAUCUUUAAAAAAAAAAAUUACUUGUUAAUUAGAAAUCAUAUUUAGGGUUGAUGUGAAUUAUAAUCUAACAACACAGGUGCUUUUGUUGCUUUAAGGUAAGCCUUGUAAUCUAUUUAUCGUUUUUUUUUUAGUGUUAAAUUGGUGGUUUGCAACCCGCAUGAUCACCUCACAUAUUAGGGAAAUAGAUUUAAAAUCAAUCCAAGCUGCAUUCAAAAUCAUUUUUAAAAAUAAAAGAAAUGGUACCAAAAGAGCAUUAAAGAAGUCUAGUGUAACCAAGUCCCCGUACCUUUAGUCUCUGGUUCGUAGGAGUAAAAUAAUUCUCCCAUUAUUUUACUUAGAUGUCUAAUCGACCUACUGUAAAUUGAUUAGUAAAGACUCCUAGAUAAAAUCCAUCUGCAUGUUUAAAAAACAUGAAUCUUAAGUCGCGAAUUGGUAUAGGCUUGGAAGGACCUGAGCUAAGUUUAAAACUUAGUAGUCCAUUAACUUAAAACCUAGGUGGGUUCACCCUUGAACCAAAUUUUUUAGGUCGCGACAGCUAUGCAGUACAGACUCUUAGCCAAUUCAUGCACAGUUCAAAACAAUCUCACAUGAAUACAGCCUUGAAGAUUGUGAGAUAUUUGAAGACAUGUCUAAGCUUAGGGAUAUUCCUUUCUUGAAAAUGCAACAUGGAAAUGACAACCUAUUGCGAUGCGGAUUAUGCUACGUGUCUUAUGAGCAGGAGAUCUAUCACUGGCUUCUGUAUCAAAUUUGGGGAAUCAUUACUUUUAUGGAAGACAAAGAAGCAGUCUACUAUAUCCUUAUCUUCAGCUGAAGCCGAAUAUUGAUCUAUGGCCAAAACUGUUUGCAAAAUAAUUUGGUUAAGGGGUUUGCUUCUGGAUCUCGGGGUAAAAGUUAAGGGUCUGACUAUACUCUUUUGUGAUAAUGAUUCAACACUCAAACUUGCAGCAAAUCUUAGAGUUCAUAAAGGAAAAAACACAUAGAGGUCAAUUGUCAUUUUACUCGAGAGAAGAUUCAAGCAUGAGUUAUCGAGACGGGAGGGAUCAGAACCACGGAGCAACCCGUGGACAUAUUCACUAAACCUCUCUAUCAAAGACAACAUGCAUAUCUUCUGAGUAAGUUGGGCAUCUUGGACAUUUACAAGCCACCAGUUUGAGGGGGAGUGUUGGAAGAUAUGAUUUACAAGAUUGGUACAGAUUGUAAAUUGAUAUGGAUUAUGUCUAUCUUAAAAUUAAAAAUAUUACAGAAUAAUUAGGAAAUAUACACUUUCUCUUUAUUGUUACUUCUUUUGUAUUAUAUAUACCAUUGUACACAGAUUACAAUAAAUAAAUUGAGGCAUGCAUUUUUCCUCUCCAAAUUCUUCCCUAUGCUCUUUCUUCUUUUUCACCUAGUCUCGUGAUAGAAUUCAAUAUCCAUGCCUUUCCUUUAAGGAGUCCUAGAUAGGGAGUGUGACAUCCUGAUUUUCAGGUUUUGAUUUCAAUCGGAUAAGUUGGGUACUUCAUCGACACGACUACAAUGCUUUUCUCUAAGAUAGCCACUCACGAGAUAACUAGCCUAUCCGAUAAAGCCAUUAAAGGAUUCUAAUGCAAUAGAUUUGAUAAUUUGACUGGGAAUUGGCUUCUCGACCGUGCUCAUCUUUAAAGGCCAUUACGGCACAGUAUAAAAUCGAUUUGAGAUUAGAGAUAAGUCGGUUCAACUGAGAUGUGUGACCGAUCGUGGGUAACUCCACUCAAUUAGAAAAUUCUCGUCAACCGGCACUAGUUUAAUUUUAUUGUCGUUUUGGUACCCUGUGUUCGUAUUUGAAUCCUCGAGAUUUUCACAACAACCAAGAGUUACCAAUGUGUGGAAGAGGUACGUGUGGUUCGAAGAAAAUCAAUCAUAGGUCAAUUGCACCAAAAAUUCCUAAAAGCUACAUGGUAGGCAAUGUCACAUUAAAAGCGUGUCUAAUUGAAAUUACUGCAAAUUUUUUAGAAAUUGAAAGUCCUAUCAUGUCAUGAGUCAUUCUAGGAACGUCAACUCACAUUUUGAGGAAUUUUAUAGAAAAUCAAGAUAGACGAUUCAAAAAACAAACGGAAAUUCGGAUUGACUAAUUUGAAGAGAUUUUGGCAUCUGGUGUGAGUGAAUUGAUGGAUGGAAGUUGUUUGGGCUUUUUAUGCAUUCAAAUCGGACCCCAAUUGGAGAAGUUUGUUUAGAAAAUCGGAUUCCGAGAAAAAAAAAAUGAAAUAUAAUUCGAAAUUGAGGGAAAAUCGUAAGAUUGAGGGACCAUGUCAUUUUGGUCUUUAAUUGGACUUCGAAUUGUGCAAGAUGGUGAAGAAAUUAGCCCUAGGGUGACCAAUUGACAACGUUGUGAAGUUGAGUAAAAAUAUAAUUUGUUUUAUUUUUAUGUCUUCUCCCUCCUCAUUGCUCCCACCACUCUCACACUCACCCCCCUUCAGCCGACGUGCCUCCCUCCUGUAACCUUCCAUUUCAUUUCCUCUAUUGACUUGGUCUUCUUAACUACCAGCACGUGAUAUUUUCCUCUCUCUUAGGGCCUGUUUGGCAACAUGCCAAACAGUGCUUGAUUCUAAUUUUUUGUUCCCAAAAUUAGUAUGGGACGAGUAUCAUGUUUAGUAGAAUUUUUGUUCACGGGAACAAAUUGGGAAGAGAAUUGAGAAUAAAAAAAAAAUAUGAUUCUUCGUCUGAGAAUCAAAAAAAGAAUCAAAACAGUGAAACUCUCAUUCUUCCCUUCCAUCAUCCUGUGAUUGCCGUUCGCCACCACCCGCCACCGUCCGCCGCCGCCCGCCGUCGCCGUCCGCCGGUCGCCGGUCCAGCGAGGUCGCCAAAGGCAAGCCCAGCCACCGGCGAGGCUCGGCCUCGCUAGAUCUGGCGAGGCCCAGCCUCGCUCUCGUGGCCAGGCGAGCCUCGUCGGCAGCUGGGCGAGGCUUGGCCUCGCUAGACGAGCCUCGCCCAGCUAUCGGUGAGGCUCGCCUGGCCAUCGACAAGGCUCGCCCGGUCACUGAUGAGGCUCACCCAGCCCCGCUGGUGACCAAGCUUGCCUCGUCGAGGCUGGGCGAGGCCAGCCUGGCCACCGGUGAGGCUCGCCCAGUUGCCAGUGAGGCUUGGCUGAUGAAGGCCGACCUCGCUGAGGGCCGGCGACGCUCAUAACACUCUGAUGAGCGUCCCAGCCCUCGUCUGGCCGGUCGCCAGACCGGCGACCGACCANNNNNNNNNNNNNNNNNNNNNNNNNNNNNNNNNNNNNNNNNNNNNNNNNNNNNNNNNNNNNNNNNNNNNNNNNNNNNNNNNNNNNNNNNNNNNNNNNNNNAUCACUAAUCAAUUCUAAUCUACAACCUAAUUACAUUUAAUUAAAACUAAUCAACCUUUAAGUGUAAUUAGCACACUAAGGAGGCAUUAGUGAGUAAAACUCACUUGGCAAAACGAAGAUUGGAAACCGCGAUGGCGACACGACGGCGGCCGAACUUGGGCCGGGCCAAGAACUUCACAAGCCCAAAGAAACUCUGAGCUAAAAAAAACAAGUUGAACUUGGGCCUGAGCUUGGGCUUCAAACUAAUCUCCAAUGGAUUGCGGACUGAUCUUGCGAGCUGGGCCGAAAAACAACUUCAAUGGGCUGAACAAAUAAACUGAGAAUGGGCCGUUCUCUUGAGCCGAACUCCACAUGGGCUUCAAUUAAAUUAAAACCCCCAUGGACUGAAUUGCUGCAAUUCACGUGGGCUUCAAGUCUUCAAUUGGGCUGAAUGAAGAAGCAGCUGUGGCGUUGGGCUCGGUCCAGCUAGUGUGGCGAAGGAAGACCGAAGCAGCUGGUCUUCGUUGAGGAAGCAAUCCACGCGAUGAAGUAAAGAGCAACCAUCAGCAGAGAGAGAUUCGGUUGAGGGGGGCUUCGACGGUCUUCAGCUGGCGUGCGUUGGCUUUGCGGAGGGAUCGUGGGCUUCCACGGCAAUGAGAUGGAGAAGCGGACGAGUGGCAGCAAGCUAAGCGGAAAUUGAAGACGUUGGAGCGGUGCUUCUUCGGUCAAGUUGACUGAACGUGAGGGAGAAACAGACAAGCGGCGAGCGGCUUCGGUGGACGCGGCUUCAAGGGGUCAACAAAUCGCCUGGGAGCUUUGCUGUGUUGACCUCCUGAGUGGGGUUCUUCGGUGGGGAACAAAAAUUGGUGGAGGUGGCUUCGCUCCUUGCAGCUGGAACGAAGAGGAACCGAAGUGGAGCGGCAAAAUCAAAGGAGAGAGAUCUCGGUGGUUGACUGGAACACCUGGUAGCAAAGUCUUCGAAGGUGGAAACUUCGGUCUCCAAUGGGUUCCGCUGGACGUACGAAGAAGCGUGGACGCGUGGAGAUGGGCAGCUUUGUGUGUCUUCACUCGGUGGGGAGGAGACGUGGGCUUCGCUGGUUGCUGGUCUUUGAUCAUAUGGAGCUGGCGUGGCUCCUUUGAUGUUGGCUUCGUGCGGGGGAAUGUAGCGGUGGAUGAAGUAGAGUCGAGGAGGGGUAGUCUUCAAUGACUGCUCCGUUUCUCUUCAGCUAUGGCGUCGCAUGAAAUGGGGAGAAUGAAGGAGAGACAAUUUACGACAACUAGAGAGAGAGGAUGAGGGAGAGUAGAUGGAUAGAGAUGAGAGGUGAGGGGGCUCCACUUUGACUUGAUUUUUCCACAAAUAUCCCCCACACUCACUCNNNNNNNNNNNNNNNNNNNNNNNNNNNNNNNNNNNNNNNNNNNNNNNNNNNNNNNNNNNNNNNNNNNNNNNNNNNNNNNNNNNNNNNNNNNNNNNNNNNNUGGUCCAAAUGGCUAGUGGAAUGGGGGCACACGAAUUUGCUUGAUACCUCCUCCAAUUGAUCACUCAUUUCUUCUCAAUUUAACCUUGUAAGGCCUCAAUAAAUCCAAGUGAUGCCUCAAUGCUUCAAUUAAAUAUUCUCCUCAUCCAAUAACUCAUCUCGCAUCUCAAUUUUGCAUUCCAUUUUAAUCUCCGGCUCCAAUUGCAUAGAAAUGACAUGAUUAAUUCAAUUGAAAUUAAUACCGAAAAUUCUGGAUGUCACAACUCUUCCCCUCUUAUAAAAAUUUCGUCCUCGAAAUUUAAAUCUUUACCAAUCCAUAAACGAAGGGUGGGGGUAUUGUCGUCUCAUUGAGUCUCACUUUUCCACGCUAGCCCUUCGGUCUUGUGGUAUUGUCCGACAAUUUUGACCAAGGAGACCAUCUUGGUAUAGAAAAUCUGCUCUUUCUAAACCAACAACUGAACUGCACUUCUCACAUAAGACACUUUGUCAUCCACAUCUGAUCUGUUUUCUCGGCUCCUUAAUAAACUUUCGAACCUCAACGAUUCAAAAUUUCUGAUAGUUCUGAGCAAUCUUUACUCUGACACUGGUCUGACAACUGUAGACACUGAUUUCUGAGCUGACUCUGGACUUGCGAUUUUCUAAUUUCUGAUCUCAUCCCAACCGACUGAAAUCCUGUACACUCUGCUUUGCACUGAUUAAAGAGAAACUACCUGACUGAUUAGCUGAAACUGAGAAUCUCUAGUCAAGAUCUGAUAUAACUCGGACACUGAUCUUGGCAACUGCAACCACUGACUACUGUACUGACUUUGGCCUGAAAUCUUUAUUCACUUUCUUUUCACCACUGAAAUUCUGUACCAUCUGCUAUGCACUGCUUAAUAAAGAAUCCUCUGCAACUUUGCCAAAUUUAUAAUCUCUGAUUUAGAUUCGAAAUAUAAUUCAUCCCCGGCACUCCAUGCUGGCGAAUUAUCUGAUGCACACACACUUCGGUAUACCCACUCUGUGACAAGAUAGAAUCUUCAAUUUUUGAAAUCGAAUUUAGAUUGGCGGUUAAUUUCACUCCGACACGCUUUUAGUGUGACCUAGGCUACUGGGUAGUGUUCAGAGCUUUUUAGAACAAAUGACCCAUGGUCGAUUUUCUUCGAGCCACAAUAAACCCACUCGACCCAUUGGUGACUCUCGAUUGUCGUGAAAAUCUCAAGGAUUCAAAUACGGACACAGGGCGCCAAAACGAUAGAAACAUCAAAUUAGUGUCGGUCGAUGAGAAUCUUCCAAUUUAGUGGAGUCACCCACGAUCGGUCAUUCGUCUCAAUCGAACCGAUCUAUCUUUGAUUUCAAAUUGGGUUUUAUACUAUGCCGCAAUGAUCUCUAAAGAUAAGCACGGUCAAGAAGUCGAUCCAUGGUCGAAUUCUCAAGUCUAUUUGCCUUAAGGUCCUUAAUAACUCACCCAGCUAGUCUAGUUAUCUCAUGAGUGGCCAACUCAGAGAAAAACACUAUAAUCGCGUCGAUGAAAUGCCCAAUUUAUCUAAUCGAAAUCAGAGCCCGAAAUCUAGAUGUUACACUCUCAAAACAAGAUCUACUCGUAUUGUACCAAAGUGGACCAACUCCAUAUAUCUAUCAACCGCUAUUCUCAAAUGGUAUCAGUAAUCCUCUGAAUCCUUAGUAAGCCUAUCACAAUGUUUCAUUGUGAUAUAUUUCCAUUUCCACUUAGGACUCUCAAGUGAUGGUAAAAACUCUCCCGAUUCACAUUAUCGAGCUUCCACUUACUGACACUUCUGACACUUGCAACCUGCUCAGCAAUAUCUAUCUUCAUAUCAGCUUACUAAUCUAGCUGAUGCCGAUUCUGCUUUACUUGCACCAUCUGGUCAAGACUGCAAUACUAUAGUGAACUUCUAACAUGGUCUUUUCCUUGAGUGCUACACUGUCAAGUGCACUCAAUUCCUCAUGGAACCCGAAUCAGAAGUCUUAAAGUCAGAUUCUUUCUUGCUAGUAUCAUCUUAUAAGAUCUCUGAACAUCUCUGUCUGUCAACUAGGCGAUGAUUCCAACUUGAACAUUUGGCUCAAUUUUGAGGGUGGCUAUAAAAUUCAAAAGGUAGCCUACCUCAAAUUUGAAAACCAAAUUUCAAACCCUUUUCAAGUAAAGUCUAUACUUUAGCCAGUCUAUGCACAAUUGAAGACUCUCAGCUCAACACAUUAAUUACUUCUUUCAUUCUCCCAAGGUGAUACCAGAUAACACCAUUAUAGUUCUGCCAAAAUUUUGAUUCACGAUACUGUUUCAUGUUCAACUUGUUGGGCCUCAACUGGAGGAACAGUGAUGCAAUAAUCUUCUCAUGUUGUAUCAAUACGUACCCAGUCCUUUACAAGACACAUCACUAAAUACUUCAUGCUUUUCAAAACCAAAUGAAGAGUUUAGCACAAGUACGAUAGUCAGUUCUUACUUAAGCUCUGGAAAUUAUCCUCGUACUUGUCUAUGCUGAUGAAUUUCUCUUCUUUCUCAAGAGGUCAAUCCUGCGAUGAUAUUGAUACUGAAAAUUCUUUCACAAACCUUUUGUAGUAAUCUGUCCGAUCCCCACAGCUUCUGAUCUCUGACAUUGAUGUCGGUCUCGGUCCAUUAACAAGUGAUUCAAUCUUGGCUGAGUCCAUGAAGAUUCCUUUAUUUGUAAUCACAUGAUCAUUCUUAGGGGCUCUCGUGAUCCUCAUCACUUAAUGAACACCCUAGAACAUUGUUACAUCACACGAUCGCCAUUGAUCUAGGUAUUCUUUGAACACUCGGUUUGUCAAAUCCAUGACAGCGGCUGAAGCGUUCGUCAAAUCAAAUGGCUUUACAUUAUUCUCACAAGGCUAAAUCAAGUGCGAAGUGUUGUCUUCAGUAUAACCUCAUUCCUGGUUCUCUACUGACAAUAACCUGCCCUCAAGUUGAUCCUUGAAGACAUGAACACUCUUUAAAACAAGUCGUCCAAUUAAGUUGACAAUGGUUGAUGCCUGAUUGCAAUGAACCAUCUUCAUUUCUCUUUUCAAAAAACUGACGUUCCUUAAAGCGAUGCACUAAUAUGUAUGAAUUCCUCAUUCAUCAAUCUUCACAUCCGUAUCUUCGGUUCUAUCAAUUCAAACAACAAUAACUAGUGAUUCCCCUUUCUUCCACUUAUUUCCAUAAAAUGAAGUUCCCCAAACUUCAUCCAAACUCUGCUACGAUACUCUGAUAGAAUUUUCCCCCAAAACAUUCUUCCUUUGUCUAAUGCCAAGUCGGUUUCAUUUAUGAUCUUCUCACCAUACCUGGAUACUAAAUUCAUCCAGGUUUUCUUCCACAAUUUCGACACAUAUCUGGUGAGUCUUCUACCUCUUGUCAAGUGCUAGGAUGCACUAUUUCUUGUGCCAGAGACCUAUCCCAGAAAUUCCACAGUGCGUUCUAUGGCGCACUUCUCCUGACCUGUCCUAUCAACGGUGACAACAGUAACAGUUGUCGAGAUUCCAUCUACUAAUGCGAACAACCCAUAAAUCAUUAUUCGUACUGGCGACACUUACCACAAUUUCCUUCCUUCAGAAUACACGAGACUAAUCCCUAUCGUCUUUCAUAGAACAACAUGUUCCAUUAAUCUGAAUACUGACCUGACUAUGCCACCUUUCCUAUUGGGUGGAAUAGAAUACCAUUCUCUCAACAUCAGUCUUUACCCUGACCGAAUUCCCAAUAUGGUUGCACUGAAUCUUGAUUCAAAUAUCGAAAUAUAUUCCCUGAUCAUCCUUCCAGGUUGGACCUCAACAAAGGUAGCAACAACAACAACUUGAUUCUGAUCAUAUUGGCUCAUCCAAACCCCAAGGAACACUUGCAUCAAAUCAAUCUUAUCGAGCUUAAGAUCAAUCAAUGCUGCUACACUAGUACCACCCCGCGGUGGUACUCUUACGCUUAAACUGGCUAGAGUCAACACUCUGCCAUCCAAAUCCACAACGAUUAAAAUCAAGCGAUUCACACAUGACAAACAAUUCUACCAAUCAACUAUCAAAAGACAUGCACCAGUCAUGAAUUUAAAGGCCUUUCCUACUACUAUCCCAUAGGUCAUCGCACCUUAUCACUCCAAUACCUAACCAUUGCUCUGAUACCAUAAAAAGGGGAUGUCACGCCCCGAUCCUCAGGCACGCGCACAUCCCUUAACUUUUGGUCGAUUUUAUUAUUGCGAUAUCCCAGGACUAUGUAUCGCCGACCUUUUCAUUUAUAUAUGCACAUGCGGAAGCGGUUAUAAAUCCCCAGACAAUAAAACAAUGGGAUAUACAAGUAGGGCUAGGAAAUUGAACCCGAAAACCACACCAUUGCAAUCAUACACAAGCCAUACUAAUACGAUUGGUUUCUACUCAAAUUGAUUCUAUAACAAUCGUCAUCAGGAUCCUACUCUGGAUCAUCCUCGGGGUUCUCCUUCACGUACUCCUCCUCAGGUUCCUCAACAGGGAUCUCCUCAUCAGAUUCAUGCUCCUUAGGCUCCUCAUCCAGGUCCUGAAAUGGUUAUUCAAUAACCACUGAGACAACGUCUCAGCAAGUUCUACCCUCUAAGACCCGAUUAGUAAACUAAUACACCUUAGGGCUGCCUAUGCACAACAUGAGUCAGAGGACUUACCUUGGCCUCAGAUUCCACCUGCAUAUUAGCAUAGAUCAUACAGGCACCCAAGCAAUCAUAUUAUAGAUCGAAGCAUCGAUCUAAUCGACCUAGUCGAUUACACGCCAAGAAGACCAUUCACGGCCAUCGCUAUUCAAUCAUUCAAUUCACAACAUCAAAUCAAGGCAAUGAAUCACAUCAAGUCACUCUAAGAUCGAAUCAUCGAUCAAUCGACCUAGUCGAUUAUAAGUCAGUCGGACCAUUUCUAGGUCAUUCAUCCAACACCAAGCAAUUCCUUAGAUUUAGUGGCUUUACGGUCCCACCCGACCUUAUCAAUAUCUAGUGGCUUUACGGUCCCACCCGACCUCAUCAAUAUCUAGUGGCUUUACGGUCCCACCCGACCUUAUCAAUAUCUAGUGGCUUUACGGUCCCACCCUACCUUUCCAAGAUUUAGUGGCUUUACGGUCCCACCCGACCCUUUCAAGAUCUAGUGGCUUUAUGGUCCCACCCGACCCUCUUAAGAUUUAGUGGCUUUACGGUCCCACCCGACCUUUUCAAGAUGCCAGACUAUGUCACCGAGCCACGUGCAUUCUCCAGGAAGACAUACCGAGUCUCCGAGCCACGUGCAUUCUCUAAGGCUACCUUUUCGCCAAGAUGACAUAUCUAAUCACCGAGCCACGUGUCCUUCCCAGGUGACACUCCAAUUCACCGGGUCACGGGCAUUCUCCAGGUGAUUUACCAACGCACUUUCGAUACUGACAACCGUUACUCGACCAAUCCUCAAUCACAAGGCCAAAAUUGCAUUAUUUAAUAACAUGCUUAAAAAUGCAUCAUUAAAUCAAUUCGACACGAAUUAAAGCUCAAAUAAAUAAACAGACUACUCCACGACAAUCAGCACGAAAUUCCGGUCACCGGCCAUCCCGGUUGAAUUUCCGGAAAAUAAAUAAUUAAAUAAUUAAUUUCGAAAAUUAAAUAAAUAAAUACAAUAAAUUCAAUUUAGCACAAUAUAAAGCUCAAUUAAAUAAACGGACUGCACCACGAUCAUCAGCAUAAAAUCCCGGUCACUGGUCAUCCCAGUUGAAUUUCCGGGAAAUAAAUAAUUAAAUAAUUAAUUUCCAAAAUUAAUAUUUAAUUCCUAAAAAUUCCACCUAGGCCCGAUUUGCUUAAUUAACACCCGAUAAGGGACGGGGAAAAUCCCAAGAAGCAUCCAAUAAAUACUACAGACAAUUCUCUAUCUAAUUACACUAACCACACAACUAAUAUGCAAAGAAAUUAACUAAUAAUCACUAAUCAAUUCUAAUCUACAACCUAAUUACAUUUAAUUAAAACUAAUCAACCUUUAAGUGUAAUUAGCACACUAAGGAGGCAUUAGUGAGUAAAACUCACUUGGCAAAACGAAGAGUGGAAACCGCGAUGGCGACACGACGGCGGCCGAACUUGGGCCGGGCCAAGAACUUCACAAGCCCAAAGAAACUCUGAGCUAAAAAAAACAAGUUGAACUUGGGCCUGAGCUUGGGCUUCAAACUAAUCUCCAAUGGAUUGCGGACUGAUCUUGCGAGCUGGGCCGAAAAACAACUUCAAUGGGCUGAACAAAUAAACUGAGAAUGGGCCGUUCUCUUGAGCCGAACUCCACAUGGGCUUCAAUUAAAUUAAAACCCCCAUGGACUGAAUUGCUGCAAUUCACGUGGGCUUCAAGUCUUCAAUUGGGCUGAAUGAAGAAGCAGCUGUGGCGUUGGGCUCGGUCCAGCUAGUGUGGCGAAGGAAGACCGAAGCAGCUGGUCUUCGUUGAGGAAGCAAUCCACGCGAUGAAGUAAAGAGCAACCAUCAGCAGAGAGAGAUUCGGUUGAGGGGGGCUUCGACGGUCUUCAGCUGGCGUGCGUUGGCUUUGCGGAGGGAUCGUGGGCUUCCACGGCAAUGAGAUGGAGAAGCGGACGAGUGGCAGCAAGCUAAGCGGAAAUUGAAGACGUUGGAGCGGUGCUUCUUCGGUCAAGUUGACUGAACGUGAGGGAGAAACAGACAAGCGGCGAGCGGCUUCGGUGGACGCGGCUUCAAGGGGUCAACAAAUCGCCUGGGAGCUUUGCUGUGUUGACCUCCUGAGUGGGGUUCUUCGGUGGGGAACAAAAAUUGGUGGAGGUGGCUUCGCUCCUUGCAGCUGGAACGAAGAGGAACCGAAGUGGAGCGGCAAAAUCAAAGGAGAGAGAUCUCGGUGGUUGACUGGAACACCUGGUAGCAAAGUCUUCGAAGGUGGAAACUUCGGUCUCCAAUGGGUUCCGCUGGACGUACGAAGAAGCGUGGACGCGUGGAGAUGGGCAGCUUUGUGUGUCUUCACUCGGUGGGGAGGAGACGUGGGCUUCGCUGGUUGCUGGUCUUUGAUCAUAUGGAGCUGGCGUGGCUCCUUUGAUGUUGGCUUCGUGCGGGGGAAUGUAGCGGUGGAUGAAGUAGAGUCGAGGAGGGGUAGUCUUCAAUGACUGCUCCGUUUCUCUUCAGCUAUGGCGUCGCAUGAAAUGGGGAGAAUGAAGGAGAGACAAUUUACGACAACUAGAGAGAGAGGAUGAGGGAGAGGUAGAUGGAUAGAGAUGAGAGGUGAGGGGGCUCCACUUGACUUGAUUUUUCCACAAAUAUCCCCCACACUCACUCUAGGCCAAGCAUUUAUCCCUUGGCUGUCAUUGAACCACCCAAGCUCUUUCUUGGACAUGUGAAUUGGUCCAAAUGGCUAGUGGAAUGGGGGCACACGAAUUUGCUUGAUACCUCCUCCAAUUGAUCACUCAUUUCUUCUCAAUUUAACCUUGUAAGGCCUCAAUAAAUCCAAGUGAUGCCUCAAUGCUUCAAUUAAAUAUUCUCCUCAUCCAAUAACUCAUCUCGCAUCUCAAUUUUGCAUUCCAUUUUAAUCUCCGGCUCCAAUUGCAUAGAAAUGACAUGAUUAAUUCAAUUGAAAUUAAUACCGAAAAUUCUGGAUGUCACAUGAUUCUUAAAGAUCCAAUUAUCACAUGAACACAAAAUUUUCUCAUGUUCAUGUAUAUUUGACGCGUGAAUCAUGAAAAGAUUCCAAAAAGAGAGAGAGAGAGAGAGAGAAGUUGACUGGUUCAAUAUGCUCAAACAAAAACUAAGAAUGAUGCCAGUAAAAACUUGUUCAAAUUUUUGCUAUCCAUUUUUUGGAAAGGAAAGAAAAAAAAAACAUGAUCUUCCCAUGUAAAAGCGUGCUUAAAAUGAUUAAAAUAAAAUACAGUUUAUUGUUGUUUUAUAAACACAUUGUGUCUAGAAACAUUUUGAAAAAUUUUGUAGAAUAUUCAUGAAAUGAUUGAGUAACAGGUGGUUAAGUAUAUUGAUGCAUGUUAUAAAAAUAUAUAUACGAAUGAAGAAGCACGUUUUCAUCAAGUAAGGUCCGAAAUUUAUAUGGUCUCUAACUCAUAAGAAGAAGAAGAUACCCCAGAACCAUCCAUUGGUCUUCAUCUUUGUCUACUAAUGAAUUGGAGAGUACUUGAAAAUAGAUUACUCUGAACAUUGAUAACGUUGGCAAAGAUAACAUCGACAUUUUGAGAUGAUGGAAGAGCGAAGCCAUCGUUUUUUCAAUUCUUUUCACCGUGGCCUGUGACUUACUAUCUCCACCAGCAUUUAUGAGCCCAUGUCUAAUACUAGCCAACAGAUCAUGGAAGACAAAAGGUGUAGGCAGAAAAUUUAGAAAUGGUUUUUGCUAGACAUGAUUGGUUUGUGCAAGAAUUGACUCUAAAGGAACGUACCCUAUAUGAACAAGAGGACAACAAUGAUAUUGUAUCAUCCGAAUUAUAAUGAAGAACAAGACACCAAAGAUACCAAAUUUAUUAGACAUUCUCUUUGGUAUAAUUUGUGUGUAGUUGUUAUUAGGGCAUCGUUACGUGUGAUUUUCUUUUUCAAAUUACUCGAAGAUACACUUGUAUUUCAAUUAGGUUUAAUUAAUGAGCGGUUUUUAAUUAAAAUUUUAAUUUACUUUUUUUUUUAUUUUUAAAAACUGAACCAACUAGUUUAUUUUUAAAAAAAAUAAAUUCAUGAAAAGAAUUAAAAUUAAUUUAGAGAAGAAAUGGGCCAGGACCAACCGAGCCUGGAACGGCCCUUUGGCCCCUCCUAAAUGGCAUAGCACAAGGACUAGCACUUUCUUCCACCAGGCCUUUCGCCAUAAGGAUUUUCACUUGACGUUGAGGUUCUUCGUGGGUUAGGCAACUUUAUUGGGGAUAACUUCGGUGUUGAAUAUCACGCAUGGGCAGCAAGGCAGCCGGAAUUUCAUCAGGGACAAAAAUUCUAAAUUCUUCCAGGAGUUGCUCAAUCGUCUUAGAAAUUCAAGUGCUUCUUCGUUUUCUUCUGUUGACACUGAAAUUUUGUCGAUGUUUUGGAUAUCCAUUUAUUUUGCAAAAUAUAAAAUUUAUGAAAAAAAAAGGAAUGAUGAAGUAGUGUGGGCCGGCGUGUCCGGCCCACUUAGCAACCUCCGGCCCUCUAAGCUCGUUUCCCCCUCCCAUCUUCAUUUCUUUUGUUUUGAGCCCAUCUUCAUCUUUUCCUAUUAGUCCAUAAAAGCCUUAAAAAGAAGCCCAGCCCAAGAUCACUUCUUCCCCUUCGUCUGCACGAACCAGCAUCUAUGAGGAGGGAGGAAAAGAAAGGAUGGUAUGUGGGGCAGAGGGAACAGGACAGAGGGCAGACCGUCGACCGGGAGUUGGUCGGGGCCAGGCCGGCAGCAGCAGCAGCUGGCACGGCAGGAGGCAUGCGCACCGAAGCUUAAAAGCGAGAGAGGAGCGUGCUGUUGUGAGGGAUGAUUAUUAGGGGGCUUGGCUGAAAUGAGAAAAAUGGUCGACCGCCGACCAUCGCCUCUGUCCACGGUUGAGCGGUGGUAUUCCUUCUCGUCUUGUCAUCCGUCGAAGCUUUUCCGGCAACCAUACGACACCAAAACUCUGCCCUGAACCUGGUGGGAGUUCGCUCUCGAACACCUCAUUUUCGGCCCCGUUUCGUUGAGCACAAGAUCUGAAUUUAUUUCUUUUUGGAGAUCAUAGGACUUUGAUAUAGUAAUAGGACUGAGUUAUAAUCUAUGAUGUGGGUUCAUGUUUUUGUGUGUCGAGAUUUCAGACUCAUUUCGCCAUGAAUGUAAAUAUGGAGCUUGUUUUCUAAAAUGCGCACCGUGCAUUUGUUAAAAUGCUUGAAAGAAGACCGGAAAAAUUCUCAUGUUUAAACUCGAUACCGAUCUCAUUUGUUUCUGUGUUCGUCGAACCCUACUUGAUUUCUUCGUAUUUUGCUGUGUUGGCCUUGCAUGCGCCCCUUCACUAGAGCCCCUUGCCGGCAAUCCCCUCGUCCAUGGUUCAAGGCUAAUCGAGUCAACGUUUCUCUCUAUUUUAACAUGCUUGUGCUUGUUUAUUUGCUGAGUGUGCUGAUAUUAAAAAUAUGAGUCCCGGGUGAUGUUCAUUUUUGGUGUUCGGUGGUCGUCGGUCAGAAUGGAUGAUCAGCGGGAGGAGAUGGCUCGGCGGCGGUAUGUAUGUCGGCAACAAAACACGUGAAAGUUGAUAUCAUCUUGAAGUUGGUGAUUUGGGAAGGAGACGAUCGAAUGAAGAUAGGUUGCAGGAAAAAGCUUCGGCGAGGAAGUGCAGGAGGUUGAAGAUGAUGAAGAAAAAGACAAAAAAAAAAAAACCAGAAAGGACAAAAGAGAGAAAAGAAAUACAAGAAACAAAGAAAAGAGAGAAAAAAAGAAAAAGCCAACAAUAGGGGAAAUAGAAAGUAAAAUGGGCUUCGGGCUUUUUAGUUGUGGGCCGGUCAUCCAUAUGAAGAGAAGGGUUUUGGGCUGGUUUGUUAAGGGCUAGGUUCUUUUUAGAGCUCGGGCCGAAAAAUUAAGAACAAGAGAAGUGUUCUUGGGAUGAUUUAUUUAAUUGCGAGUGGGCUUUUAGGGUUAACAUUUUUAGUCCAACUUAAUCCGAUAAGGUUCGGGUCGGUUUAGUUGGGUCAGGUCUCUUGACCUGGUCCGAAUUUCUUUUAAAUUAAUAUUUAAAAAUAUUAAUAAAAAAUAAAAAAUAAUAUUGAUUAAUAAAAAAAUUCAGAAAAAUCAUAAAAAAUUCAGAAAAUUCUAGAAAAUCAGAAAAAUUAAGGAAAAUCCUAUAAAUUAAAAUCUAAAAUUGCAUAAUCCUCUAGGACUUUAUAAUAGGGUUCUUUGUUUUGAAUUGUAUUUUUCUUUUUAGAGACAAUAUUAGGAUGCUUACGUGUUUUCUUUAUGAUUAUAUUUGAUUACACUUUCAAUAUGUUGGAUGUUAUUUCUUUGCUCUAGAAUGGUUAGGACGAACUUUAGAUUUCUUUUGGAUAAACUACUUUAACAUUAGUUAACAUGAUCAAGCUAGGUAUCGAAAGUGUGUUAGCCUUAAGGUUAGCUUAAUCAAAUCCCCGAGUCUAAAGCUUUUGAUUGUGCAAAUAGUAAGAUAUCAUCAUGCACCUUACUUAGUUUCUACCUAAUUGAAAAGACUAGUGGCGACUCCUUAGUUAAAAUUUAUAUUGGCUUAAUUGAUUAAAAACUUAAAUGCCCGAUGUCAUGUGAGAGAUAGGCUUGGAAGGACCUAAAUUAAUUAAAGGCCGUCAGCUCAAAGUUGACAAUACCUCCAAACCUAAUUGUCUCUCCCAUAGGAAGUUAGGUCGCGACAUCUUCAUGUACCACUAGUGCUCAUGCAACGUGUCUCCUUGUAGGAUUUUAUGGUGUGUUCUGUUGAUUUUGUUCCUUAUUAUUAUAUUCUACUUGGGUGGAUUGUUUGUGAGCAUUUUUUUUUUUUUUUUGCUAGAAUCGACAUGCGAAUUUCCUAGCACAUGAUUGCUACGGGUACACUUAUUCUUUCUAAGUAAACAAGUUGAAAUAUAAUUAUGAUCUUUUCUCAAGAUCAUAUCACAAAUAAAUUGAGGACUCUCACAAAGAAAAAAAACUCACUUUUUUCUUCUCUCUUUUUCUCCUUUCUAUUUUCUUUUUCAGCGUCUUAAUGGCUAGCGUCUAAGUAUCGUUGAUAUAAAUGUGUAGCUUUUAAUCUAAAAGCAAAAUUAAUUGAAAAAACAAAAAAGCUCCUAAAAAUAUUUGGCUUCAAUUGCCAAUAUCAUGAAUAGUUUCAAUGAUGAUAUUGCCAUAAUUGUCUAAGUAACAUAUGACAUAAAUCCAUUAAAAUCGCAUCAUGCCACACUUUGUGGUGAUCUUUAUUUGUAAUAAUUAUUGAAUUAAACAAGGUUGAGGACGUUUACUUCAUUGCUCUCCCUCAACUAUUGUGACCUGCCAGGGUGGGGAUGAUCUUUCAUUGGUAACUUCAGAUUCCUGACCACAACUGCUACAACAUUCCUACAGCCUCUUCCAUCAAUAAUAGCAUUGCAAACCAUGUCAUGUGACGUGCACUUGUUUGGAAAACAUUGUGGUGCCCUUUAUUCGUCACCUCUCUCCGCCUUGUCUUUCUCUUUCAAGAUAGAUCGCUUCCUUCACUAGUAUACACAGUCAUUCAUCUCUCUGUUUCUCUCUCUCUCCCUCCCUCCCUCUGACACACACAAAUCACAAAUCGUACUAAAAUUUCACAAACACAUUAAUAGAAAAACAAUCCGUGAUUUGCAGAAAAAAAAUUCAGUAAAUUUAAUUUUGGAUUUCACAUGGAAAUAGAUAGAAGAGAGGGUGAUGAUCAACCGAGAUUUUGGGCAACGUUGAUGGGUGCCUCACAUGGUCAACGAAGAAUGGUAUGAUCAAUUGUAGGCAGUAGACUCAACACAUUGAACAUUAGCGCUUCAGAAUGUUUAUUGAAGUUGGUUUUGUCGUCUUUCUGCACAACUUAUUGUUUGUUGGAGGGAAUGCAAGAACUUCAAUUUGAAGGGACUGCAUUUAUAGAAAACCUCAUCUCUUUAAAUAAGUGCAAGAAGUUGGCAAGCCUUUCGUCUAGCAUUUCUAGGUUGGAGAAACUGAGUAGGCUGAGACUUGAAGGUUGCUAAAAUUUAUUCCAAAGUAUGGGGAGGACUCAACUGAUUUGUAUGUGAAUGUAGGACUUCCAAAUUUUUCCUUGCUAGAUUCAAGGGAUGCAAUUUAGCCGAAGUUGAGUUCCUUGAAAAUCUUUCCCUUUUAUCCAUUUCAAAUUGGCUUACGAACAUUUUAGAGGUCCUAAAAUCACUUGGACUUAUUUCGGAAACAUAAUUGAGAUGAUGUCCAACUUUGGUUUUAAGGUAUCUUCAUGUAAGCCAUUUUGCUUUUCAUUUAGCUUUCUGGCCCACUUAAAUCUCUUUGAAAAAAUGUACGAUAACUCGUUGCUUUCUGACAAGAGUUUCCUUUUGUUUUGUCCCUGCAACCCGCAAUUCCGUUUACACAAUACCGGAUACAAGAACAAAAGGCCAUGGCUUUCAUGCUCGAUUUUCAUUUACUUUUUUGGGUAUCAAUUGAGGACAAACCCUUUUAUCACAUGAUAAUCCGACUUGGUGCACAAACACCAUACAUAUGAGCAUUUGUAGUCUAAUUAAAUUUGUAAGGAAAAGUAUUCUAUAUAUUGAUUCUGUAAAUUUAUAUAUGGUGUCAUUUUAUUUUUAGAUAAGCCUUGAAUGAAAAUGAUUGAUAGCGUAUAUUAAUGUUGUUUGGUUCGCCGAAAAAGCAAGAGAGUAUGCUACGAGAACGUGAGUAUAUGGAAAGGGAAAGGACCUCCAGGCAACAGUUUUUCUACCAAAAGCUAAUCCGUGGAAUCGGGUAAAGUAAAGAUGCAAAGCAGAGUAAAAGUCAAAAAAGAAAACCUUAAAAGUCGCAAAGAAGUGGACAGGUCAUGAUGAGGAAAGAUCAAAGUGAACGUCCCACUAAGAAAAGUCCGCGUUUCACGGAUUAUAAAAGGGGAUGCGAUAAUGACAAACAAAUGGGAAUCACGCGAAGGAGCAAAUUAGAAAGUAGGUCUCUCUCUCUCUCUCUCUCUCUCUCUCUCUCUCUCGCGAAUCUUUCUUGUUUCAUUCAAAUUAAAAAGCGGCCGUCCUCAGCAAAGGCAUGAUGACCAUCACUUAUCAUCCAUGUGCUUUCAAUGCAAUUUGCUCCAACUUUUUUUUAUGGUAGCCUACCGUAAAAGAUCGUGAUGAAAAAAUAUAUAUGCUUGUGAUAUAGAUAAAUUUUACAUACAAAAACUUACGAAGUAUUUUUUUCUGAGCUUCAUGACUUUGUAGAGAUAUGUACUAAACCCAAGUUGGUUGUAAUCUUCCUCAAUGACUGCGGUCUCGUUUGGUUAGACUUUUCCAAUGAGCUUUGGUAGAAAUUUUUUUUUGUGUUUGGCAAAUAUUUUUGAAAGUUCAUUUGUCAAAUGUGGACAUUCCGAAUGCUAAAAACUAAAUGCUGGGAACGAGGUGCUGUGGGCAUUGGGCAUUUUGGAAAUACAACUGCGUCACUGUUCAUCUUCUCUUCUCCAUCGUCUUCUUCUUCCCCGCCCAUCUUCUUCUCUAUUUAUCUUCUUCUUCCCCCACCUAUCGGGCUUCUCCAGCAACCGCCACCGCCGCUUGAGGGUCACGCGUCCCCGGUGACCACCGCUUGGGGGUGGCGUGACUCGUGACCUAGGUGCUGUCACUUGGUUCCACGCCGCCUGGGUCUACAUGACCUCAAGCUGCCAGAUUUGGCAGUCCAAAGGCCAGAUCUAGCCGCCAAACGGCCAAGUUUGGCCUUUACGACCUCAGGCGGCCAGAUUUGGCCACCGCUGCAACUUGAAGCGCCUGAGGUUGCGCCUCCAAGUGGUGUCGCCUGAGGUCAUGACCUGAGGCGGCUAGAUCCUGAAGUUGAUUUCAGAUUUUAAAAUAAUAAUAAUAAUAAUAAUAAUAAAAGCAAAAGUCCAUUACAAAUGUUAGUUUUGUCAAACGAUGUCUAUGCUAAAGUUACAUUUCAAUGCUAUAUUUCCCAAACGGUGUAACAUUUCGAAAAACCCAUUUACCUCAAAAGUAUUUGCAUUCUCCCAAGGUUAUUUCCCCAAAGCCGAACUAAACAGGCUCUAAGAUUGACAUUCCAAUUUUUCCUUGGGAUAUCUCGAUAAUAGAAGGCUUCUUCCACAAUAAGUUAUGUUUGUAUAGUCCUCAUUCGGAUAAUGCAUAGCACAUUUUGCUUUUCAUUUUUUUCCUUAAUUGAAUCAAAAUCUCAUUGACUAAUGCCAUCCUCUCUAAUGGCUGCCAGCCUNNNNNNNNNNNNNNNNNNNNNNNNNNNNNNNNNNNNNNNNNNNNNNNNNNNNNNNNNNNNNNNNNNNNNNNNNNNNNNNNNNNNNNNNNNNNNNNNNNNNNNNNNNNNNNNNNNNNNNNNNNNNNNNNNNNNNNNNNNNNNNNNNNNNNNNNNNNNNNNNNNNUCAGUUGCAACAUAUAUAAUAGUGUGUGAAAGAUAAUAGAUAGACUGUAAUAACACAUUCUUAACCUUAUAAGUUUGUUAUAGUUACAUAAUUAGCCCCUCUAAAUAUUUCAUUUUCUCAAAAAAUAGUAAUAAGAUAAAAGAGAGGAAAAUUUUCAAAUCUGGCGCGCAAAUUCAUUGAGACAAAUGCAGCCAAAGUUAGAUCACAUGUGGAAUAAAAGAGAGAAGAAAAUUUUCAAAUCUCGCAUGUGAAUGCACUUGGAUCAAUGCAAUCAAAGUUAGAGCACACAUGAAAACAUAAAUAUUCACAUCACUAUAUAGGAUCAUCGUGACGAUCCGCCAAAUAUUGUGACUCAACAGGUAAUAACUGUUGAAGUAAUCAUAAGAACCACAUCACAUGAGGCACGCGAAAAAUAUGGUACGAACCACAUGCUAUGUUGUAUUUUAUCGAAUAAGUUAUGUUUCAGAAAAAAAAAAAAUGUCGCGACUAAGGACAAAUAGCAAUUCAAACUUUCCAACGUACCACCACCGACAAACUGAGUUUCUCGAAUAAAACCCUGGGCAAUGAAAAAGCCUUAAAAAUAGAAUUGAGAGCCAAGUCACAAUACUAGAAAUAUGUUACUCAGGUGAAGGUCUACACUCUUGAGCUGACAAUAAGAGCAAAGAACUACGUCUCCAAGCACAUUGAAAAAGAAAGAGCUAUAAACAACUAUCAUUAACUCAGGGUGUCGUAAACACGAACUUGUUUUUACGUUUGAGCUCUUCAGUGAAUUGGCUUCCUUUGUUUUUCACUUGUUACUUCUUCUUCUUUUUUUCCUUGAAAAUGAUGAAAUAUUCACUUUGGAUUUUGACUAAGCAUAAAAUAUUAUAUGAUAUGAACAUAGUUAAUGCAAGUGAAGUAUAAUGUCAUAAAGUCUAAGCACGUAUUACUUUAUUGACUCAGUUUGACGAGGGCAGGGUGUGAUUACUAAAGCUAGAGGGUCUAGAUAAAAUGGAAUUAAAUUGGACUGUGCAUCGAAUAGGGGGGGGAAACGAUUUUAAAAUAUAUAUACAAAAAUUGGAAUUAACUCACGGAGCCUCCUUUUGACGUAACAAUAAGUUUUGCUUUGAAACUUCAAAAUUAAGCAAGCACAAGCUAGGGCACUACUAGGAUGGGUGACAUCCUAGGAAUAAACUUGCCUGUUCGCUAAAGGACAAAUCAUGAGGCUCAGCAUGAGGCAGGUCAAAGUGGGACAAUACCUCCAAUGAGUUAAUCAAGCGACAUCAUAAUAUAGUAUUAGAGCAAGACCACUUUGGUAGGUGUGUGGUUGGGAGUCAAACCAGGUGGAAGCUAGUGGCUUUUGGAAUGCCCUAAUUCGAUGAGAGAAAGGAAUGGUCACCGAUAUCAAGGGACUUGGACAAGAAGCGGCUCCUAACGGGCUUCUAGGAUAGCAAAAGGAGUAGGCAUGAGUAGAAUUGUGUAUCGAAUAGAGAGAGAGUGAUUCUAAUAUAUAUGAAAACUAUAAUUAACUCACUAAGGCACAUUAAAAGUUUCGUUUUGGAACUCUAAAAUUAAGCGAGCCCAUGCUAGAGCAUUACUAGUAUGGACAACCUCUCUCCUGGAGGCUUAGUAUGGGACAAGUCAAAGCGAAAAAUAUCUUGAGUAAGUUAACCUAGGGAUGUCACAAUUACAAUGUUCAAUCUCAUCCUGUAUGAAUUAAGAUCAGCAUGUGUGACCGAUUCAAGUAAAAAUAGGUUAAUACAUAAUCAUUACUUUAAGGUAGAUCUUCGAAGCAACUUGAGAGGUUUUUAAUGUCAAUGUGAGUAACAUAUGAUGGAUUUAUCUCGUAAGCACAUGAUUUUACAUUAAAGAAAAUAAAUCAAUGAUUGAAGAAAAGCAAUUUUUGCACUCCGGAGAUGUCAAGACCAAAUUGAACAAAAGUGUGCAGAAAGGUAAUCGAGAAUCAUGUGAAGCCAAUGAGGUGCAAGUAGGUGUUGGAUUCUUGAUCAGUUUCCUUCACGCCCUGAUCAAGAUCGACCUCGUCAUGAUGCUCGCCAGCGACAUCUGGUUGUUUUUUCUCGGCGCUACAGUAUCUUGGCUCUCUAGCGGCGAGAUUAAUAUAGAUUUGAGUGAUCAACUUCUUGAACGCGAGUAAGGAUUUCAUUUUUUGGUUACUAUGACAAAAACAAAAUGAUUUGACUGACGUCUGAAACAAAAGCACGAGCGCGCAAGGAAAAAGACAAAAACAAACUUAAAAUAAUAGUGAUGAAAAAUAUAAUUGAAAUGACCCACUGGACUCGAGUCUGGGAUUCGCUCUGGAUAUGAGCAAGCGAAAGGAAUAAGGUGGUGGGGCCACCUGCCCAUCAAAAUCCGCUUGAUCAUUGUUCUUUCUUGAUCUAAAUAGCGUAAAGUGAAGCUAGCACGACAGUCGAAGGUGAUGAGUUAAUAUUCCUUGGGCCUUUCACUAUGCAAAAAGACAGGAAAAGAAGAAGAAGNNNNNNNNNNNNNNNNNNNNNNNNNNNNNNNNNNNNNNNNNNNNNNNNNNNNNNNNNNNNNNNNNNNNNNNNNNNNNNNNNNNNNNNNNNNNNNNNNNNNNNNNNNNNNNNNNNNNNNNNNNNNNNNNNNNNNNNNNNNNNNNNNNNNNNNNNNNNNNNNNNNNNNNNNNNNNNNNNNNNNNNNNNNNNNNNNNNNNNNNNNNNNNNNNNNNNNNNNNNNNNNNNNNNNNNNNNNNNNNNNNNNNNNNNNNNNNNNNNNNNNNNNNNNNNNNNNNNNNNNNNNNNNNNNNNNNNNNNNNNNNNNNNNNNNNNNNNNNNNNNNNNNNNNNNNNNNNNNNNNNNNNNNNNNNNNNNNNNNNNNNNNNNNNNNNNNNNNNNNNNNNNNNNNNNNNNNNNNNNNNNNNNNNNNNNNNNNNNNNNNNNNNNNNNNNNNNNNNNNNNNNNNNNNNNNNNNNNNNNNNNNNNNNNNNNNNNNNNNNNNNNNNNNNNNNNNNNNNNNNNNNNNNNNNNNNNNNNNNNNNNNNNNNNNNNNNNNNNNNNNNNNNNNNNNNNNNNNNNNNNNNNNNNNNNNNNNNNNNNNNNNNNNNNNNNNNNNNNNNNNNNNNNNNNNNNNNNNNNNNNNNNNNNNNNNNNNNNNNNNNNNNNNNNNNNNNNNNNNNNNNNNNNAAAUCAGCACAAGUAUCUACAUACUUGCUUAUACAUCUGUGUGGAAUAAUUACAAUUGAUUUACAUGUCAAAGCUAUCCUCCUCGAGUUACCCAAUAGGCUGACAGUCUAAAUUUGGAUUUCUUCAUUCCCAUUGCACACUAAUUUAUCUCAAGUAAGCGAAUCAUGGAAAGCAUGGCAAAAAAUCAUGCGAAUUUUUGCUACCAAAAUAGUAGUAUGCAACAAAAUCACGCUAUUUUUUCCCGAUGCCGAUGUACCUUGGUUCCCCUGCAUAGAAUCCCGAGCCGAGCUUGUUGAGCCCACCGGGCACCGCCUCCUUCUCUCCAAUUUUCUCCCACAUCCUUUUCAUCUGCUUUACCCACAAAGCUGUUUAAUACUCUCCAGAAAAGACAGUCAUGCCUCUGGGUAUAAAAAAUAUAUCGAGCAGAUUCCAUGGAGAACAAAAUCUCAUCGGCUGCAAAUGCGAUUUCCUGGGAGCCACAGCCAAAUAUAUUGUUGGAGAGCCAAUGAAGUAGCUUACCUUCGAAGAUCUCAGUUCAUCCUUCAGCAACUUUCAUUUUCCAACAUUCCAAGCAACCCCACCAGCACCUAAUGGCUAGUGCUUCUUUUUCUUCGAAACCUAAGAGGAAUUACGAUGUUUUCUUGAGUUUCAGAGGCACCGAUGUUCAUAAUAACUUCCUCAGUCAUCUCUACACGGCUUUAGAUCAAAAUGUUUAUUCAGUUACCUCGACAGUGAGGAACUAAGGAAAGGAGAGCAAAUAUUGCCAGCAUUUAUGAAGGCAGUUGAGGAAUCGCAAGUCGCAAUCAUUGUUUCUCCUGAGGACUACGCUNNNNNNNNNNNNNNNNNNNNNNNNNNNNNNNNNNNNNNNNNNNNNNNNNNNNNNNNNNNNNNNNNNNNNNNNNNNNNNNNNNNNNNNNNNNNNNNNNNNNUGCAUUCAACUCAGGUGCAGUACCUACACCUGAUCGAGUGUUAGGCGUGCUAGACUGUCGUGUAGAAAGUGAAGAAGAGCUAGCUUUCUCAUUGUACGCUAUGAAAGCACUGAGAGGGACAGGACGAGAGAGGCAUCGUGACCCAGGGAUAGAGUAGGCUCGCCUGGCCAUCGACAAGGCUCGCCCGGUCACUGAUGAGGCUCACCCAGCCCCGCUGGUGACCAAGCUUGCCUCGCCGAGGCUAGGCGAGGCCAGCCUGGAGCCUCGGCAAGGCCAGCCUGGCCACCAGCGAGGCUCGCCCAGUUGCCAGUGAGGCUUGGCUGACGAAGGCCGACCUCGCCGAGGGCCGGCGACGCUCAUAAUGCUCUGAUGAGCGUCGCCAGCCCUCGUCUAGCCGGUCGCUAGACUGGCGACCGACCACAUGAAGAAGAAGAAGAAGAAUAGGAAAAAAAGGAAAAAUAAAAUAAAAUAAAAUAAGGAAAAAAAAGUAAAGAAAAAAAGUAAAAAAAUUAUUUUAAAAUUAUUUUAAAAUCAAAAAAAAUUAAUUUGGAACAUAAUCAAUUAGCACGGUAUCAAACGCAAUUCUAUUCCAGAAUAACAUUUUUUGGAUAGUUACCAAAUGCAUUUUUUUACUCAAAAUCAGAUUCCGAUAACAGAAUCAAAAAUAAUUAUUUCUAGUCAGAAUCAGCUCCCGGGAAUAGAAUCGUUAUCAAACGCAUCCUUAGCCGACACACCUUUUGUCCUUUUCAUUCUUAUCUUUGAAUUGCUGUUUUUGUCCCUUUGUGGAUUUUUCUUCUGGCCCCACAACUUCAACGACCCGCCCCUAUUCUCUUUCAGCUUCUUCUUUCAUUCACUUGCUCGUGAAUUCUGCCCCACAAAAACCCCACCGGUCUCUCUCUUCCCUCAUCUCCUUUAUGUGGGCUUCAAUUCCACUGAGCAGCGGUUUCUUGUGCCUUUCUUCCAUUUGCUCCCUCAACCGAAGCUGCCACCUCGCUCGUCAACCUGCAGCUGCUUCGAAGAUCCAAUUCCGCCUACACGGCCCCAUUUCUUCAAGUCUUCAUUUCGUGGCCACAUGUCCACGCACCCUCCACCUUUGGUCAACCCUGCAUUCCAGUGAACCGUUCCCUUGUUUUGUUGACUGCAGCCAAUCCGCCGAGUUCAUGAAGCCGUAAGUCCAACCUACUUCAUCGCCACCGAAGCAGCCCAGCUUGUGUCAUCUUCACCCCCAUCAAUAGCCCCUCCACUCUAGCAAUUUGGUCUAGCUUGGCGCCAAAGCAAGAAGCCGUGAAAUCAGCCCUCAACUAGCCAUGGACAGCACCUAUUUUUUAGUUAGGGCAGAAGUUGCAUGGCCGAUUUUGGCCCUGGUUUGGCCCUGCAUGGCGGUCCCGCUUUGAAGUUUAUUGGCCGCCAUCGUGUCCCCGUCGUUUUGAUCUAAAUGGAUCAUUAAUUAGGUGAGUUUAACUCACUAAACCUUGUUUAAUAUGCUAAUGAUGCUUAAGGGUUGAUUAGAUUUAAUUAAGCAUGAUUAGGGGGUUAGAUUAGUUUAGAGUGAUUAAAUUAGCGAUUUACAAAUGCAUGUGAGGUGGUCAAAUGUAGCCAUGAGCCAGUAGAAAUGUCCUAAUAUUUAUUGAACGGAUCUCGGGAUUUUUCCCAGUUUGUUUUGGCAUCCAAUUGGGCAUUACGAGCAUAAAUUGGAUUUAUUAGUAUUUAAUAAUUAAAAUUUGUAAUUAAUUAUUUAUUUAUUUAUUUUCCAGAAAUUAUACUGGGAUAGCCAACGAUUGAAAUUUUAUGUUGAUUAUCAUGGUGCGGUCCAUUUAUUUAUCUGAGCUCUAAUUAGUGCUGAAUUGAUUUAAUUAUGCCAAAAAGACUUUGGAAGAUUACGGAAUAUAGUGAGAUUUGUGGAAAGGAAACUGAGUAUGUAAUUUAUCACGCCGGCUUGAUAACUAAGUGUGUCAUCUCGGAGAAAGGUGCUAUGUUACAUCGGCUCAAUAACUAAGUAUGUCAUCUCGGAAAGAGACAUUAUGAUUUGUUGGUUCAAUGAUUUGAUAUAUCACCUUGGAGAAUGUACAUGGGCUUAGAGACUCGUUAUGUUAUCCUGGAGAAUGCACGUGGGCUCGGUGAUUAAGUAUGGCAUCUUGAAGAAGACAUGUGGGCUCGGUGACUUGAUACAUCAUCACCUUUGAGAAUGCACGUGGGCUUAAUGAUUAAGUAUGGCAUCUUAGAGAAGAUGCGUGGGCUCGGUGACUUGAUGCAUCACCUUGGAAAAUGCAUGUAGGCUUAAUGAGUAAGUAUGUCAUCUUGGAGAAUGCACAUGGGCUCGGUGACUAGGAGAGUCAUCUUGAAGAAUGCAUGUGGGCUCGAAGACUAGAUGUUUCAUAUUGGGAAAUGUAUAAUAUCAGUUUAAAUGACCAGGGAAAUGUCGGAAUGACAUGUAAUCGAUUAGGUCAAUUAAUCAAUAGUUCGAUCUGUGAUGAAUAAUUGAAUGCUUAUUGAACUGUAUUGAAUUGCAGGUGAAAUCUGAGGCCAAGGUAAGUCCUCUGACUCGUGUUGUGCAUAGGCAGUCCUUAUGGCAUAUUGGCCUUCUAAUCAAGUUUUAGGAGGGUAGAACUCGUUGAGACGUAGUCUCACCCCGUUGUGGGACAACAUUUCAAGUCCGUAAAUCUUGAAGAAGAACCGGAAGAAGAAUUGGAGGAGAAUCUAGAUGAUGAUCCAGAGUAUGACUCGGAUGAGGACUGAGACCUCACCAUAUUUUGCAAACCCCAGGUUGUGAACUGAUGUGUGAUAGAUCAGGCAUAUAAAAAUUGUGGUUGUGGUUUUUAGAGGUGAAAAAUAUGGCUCUACUUAUCUAUCACAUUGUUUAAUUGUUUGGGGAUUGUUUAAUUGCUUCCACUUGCGUAAUAAAAUAAAAUGGUCGGCGAUGCAUCAUGGGACAUGACUAUUAAUCGACCACGUGAGGGAUGGGUGUGUGCUCGAGGAUCGGGGCUUGAUAGGGAGAGAAUAUGAGAGCAUAAGACUCUCCGUAUAUGUGAAAACAUGUGUACAAAUAAAAGUCUCUCUCAUUUUUCAUAGAAAUCGAUGUCGAUAUCAAUGUUGGUGUCAGAGCGUCGAGCCAAAGUUGGUGGGGGCUUCUGGAAAGUAGUAGAGACGAAUGGACGGCAUUGUGUUUGAUUGAGUCAGUUUGAUUAACUGAACAUGGCAUUAUUAUUGACGUUUGCAUUAUUAUUGACGUUUGGAUUGGAUUAUCAAAACCAUAUCUAUUACCUCGUUCCGAUCUCAAUUCAUCCUUCAGCACCUUCAUUUCCGAAAUUCCAAGCAAACACACCAGCACCCGCUUCCUCUUACCAAAUACUAAUGGCUUCUUCUUCUUCUUCUUCUUCUUCUUCCAAGCACAAAAGGAGCUAUGAUGUCUUUCUGAAUUUUAGAGGCACGGAUGUCCGCAACUAUUUCCUUGGUGAUCUCUACACAGCUCUUGUUCAAAGUGGAAUAAACACUUACAUGGAUAGUGAAGAUCUAAAGAAGGGAGAGCAAAUAUCACGCGCACUUAUGGAGGCAAUUGAGGAAUCGCAAAUCGCGAUUGUUGUUUUCUCCGAGGACUAUGCCUCAUCACCGUGGUGUUUGGAGGAAGUGGCGAAAAUCAUGGAGUGCAAGGAGCAAAGAGGUCUCAUGGUCUUUCCGGUGUUUUACAAAGUGGAACCUAGAGAAGUGAGAGGGCAGAGACAGGGUUAUGCAGAAGUGAUGGCCAAACAUGAGGUGAAGUUUGGGAAGAAUUCAGAAAAAGUAAAGCGAUGGAAGAAAGCUCUUCUUGACGCCGGUAGCUUGUCUGGAUGGCAUUUUAUGGAUGGGUACGUGAAAACACUUCUACUGCUUCAAAUAGUAUAAUUCUUUUGAUUUUUGAUCUUCUUUAAGGUUUGGGAUCCUCCAAAGUUCGGCGUAAUCUAUCCCGCCUCUCUCUCUCUCUCUCUCUCUCUAAUUUGCCUCGUCUCCCUCUCUCUCACUCUCGCAUUAGACACACAGCACAGAAAACACUUGCACAGAACACGAAAGAGUACCAUGGGCGAGCCGUUCGUCCUCUCCGACACCCUGCCGAUUCUCGACACGCGGCCGUCCAAUUGCCCACGGCCCAACGCCACCCCAGACGUAUCACCUCAGCCCGUCUCUGUCUCUCUGUGUCUAGGGGCUUUAGGCUACGAAUCUGGGCUCGCGACCCCGGAUCUGGGUGGCUUCAAGCCCAGAUCAGCGGUCGCUAGCCUCGGGCAGUGGUCGCCUGGGACUCUCCUGUCUUCCGUGACAGAGGGACAAAAACACGGAAAGAGGGCGCAGCAACUGCGGCAGGACAGGCGAUGGUGAUGGGUACAUCACGGUGGCAGGGACAUGGCGGCGGGGGGAACAGAUUGGGGCGGCCACGGGGCAGUGGCAAAGCGGAGGGGAGUGGAGAGAGAGAGGGAUGGGGGAAAUCUGGGUUUGGGUUUUGAGCCUAGGCAUUUUCUUAUUUUCUAAGUAAAUUUAACAAAACAAAAUUCUAGAAAAUGUAAAAGAAAAUUAAAAAAAAUUGAAACUUUAUAUUCGCAAAUUGAGAUAUUGGUUAGAAGAAAAGUUGCACAAUAUUCAAAUAAAAUAAGUUUCUUCGAUGUCAAAAACUGUCAUAAUACAUCAAAAUCAUGCAUACUAAUCUAUAUCCUAUGUCUACUAUAUAUAGUUUAAGCAGGAUUUAAGAGGAAGUUUCCUUUGCUUGCCAGGAUUUAAGAGGAAGUUUCCUUUGCUUGCCAACAUGGGAGGUAAUAUUGCUCUAGCAUUGCCACAUGGCAUAUUUUAGCAAUUUGUACUUUAUCUUGAAAUACUUUUUUAACAAAUAUAUUUUUGUUUACAAAAAAUCAUGAUAGUAAAGUUAUGGACUUUUUUUUUUUUUUUGAUCAGAAAAGUUAUGGACUUAAUUUGAAAGUUUAAAUUCUAAUAAUUUGAAAUUCAAAAAAAUAACACGAAUAUAAAAAAUCUUGAAAUAAACUUUUUUACUAGCAUAUAUCAUUAAAUGUAAUUUAUGACCAAACAAAUAUCCAUUUGGCUUAAAGUUAAAGUAUGAGAAAUAUAAGUCAUUAAAUCAAUGACACGGAUAAUGCAAGUUAUUGUCAUUAUAAACCAUGAUAUCAGUCUGUAUAUAAUUACAUAAAUAAUACAAAUAAACCAUAGAUAAGCCACUCCUAAUUGGAAAUAUAGAUUACUUCACAAUGUUAAUUUCAUUUGGUAUUAGCUUAAAUUUGGCAAUCUGGAUUAGGCUAUCUUCCAUGAAAGACUCAUGCGAUUAGCACCCUCAUUCUUCGACCAAUUAUAAGAUUCGUGGACUUUGGACUUCCAAUUCGGACAAGAAGUUAGUAGACGGAGCUUGCGCUCCCAUGUCCCAACCCCGUUAUUGUUAAUUGGAGGGUCUUUUGUACCGCUGGCAUGCCUCUGCUUCUUGUUGAAGUUUUGAGCUAGCACUCUCUCAUUCACAGAUCCAGACUAAAAUCACUUAAGAGAGUAAGAAUUGCAAAGAAAGCUUUCUCUACUGAUUUCCCAUCUCCUUUCAACUGAAGAGGUAUCAGCUAAUAUACAUACAAAAGCCAAUGCCUGUAGGAUGUUGCCAGCUUACUUCAACAUUUACAAGCGGACAAAAAAAAAAAAACGUAAGCUGCCUACGCCUAUACAAGACAUUAUACGCUGUCUAACCAAUGGAGGUUAUCUUUUCUGCCUUUGCUUAACAGGUUUCACUGAUGCAAGAUUUUUUUACUUUUUAUUUUUAAAUUCUUGACCGUGCAAAUUCCUUUCUAUUGUUUUUGUAACCGUUUUUUCCAUUUGAAUCCUUUUAAUCUCAUCUGUACACUUCCAAUCCAUGCAUUUUCUCUUCUUCUGAGAAAAUUAGUUUUUCGUGUCUUGUACUGCUGACCUACCACUCCAUCUGAAGGCUGGCCUUGGGCCUUUUCUUCUAAAUUGGGCGUGAUUAUCUCGUUCCGUUUUCUCUUCCGGUGGCUGAUCUUGGGUUUGGGAGAUCUUCCAGACUUCAAAAACAUCAGCCCUGAUACAUAAGCUCUGUUAACUAAGCCAGAAACUUCGUAGGCAGAUCAAUUACUCUCCCUCAGUCUCUCUCUUGGACUUCUUUUUAUUUAAAGCUCAUACAACCCUUGAGAAUGAUGAUAAAAAUUCUUCCAUCACCACGCAGAUAAUACUUUGUUUGUUACCUAUUACAUGCUCUAGGACAGCUUUAAAAAUUCAAUUUGAGUGGCCUUAGUAAUAAAAAUAAUACGUGCCCCUACUUUUCUCUGUUGAAUUUUCCAGAUCUGUCCGGAAUACUCUCUCCUUUCAUCCAGUUCCAUUCAUGGUAACAAUCACUGCAGCAUAUCUAGGACCAUCUAAGUAGCUUAAAGCAUAUUUUACCAACGGAUGGAGUUUACUAACAAGGUGUAGAUACCCUCUGUCAAUGUUGAUCGAGUCUGCAAACCCUGCGUCUACAAGCAGGAGUCCAGUUUCCGCUAUGCUUAUGUGAAGUUUCUAGCUUAGUCAUCCUUGUCCUUCCGAAUGGAGAUAAGGAUUUAGAACACAGAGUUCCUGAAAAGAAAAGUGUCUCUCGAGUCUAUUAUAUUUCUUUAUUAGCGUCAUAUCUCCAGGUAGUAGAGCUUUAGAGAAUACGUACCUUUCCUUUCCAUUAAUCAAGGAACUAUUCUCCAAUUGUUUUGUAAAAUUUCAACUCAACUUCUAGAAUCUUUAUCUGUGAAGCAGGAUCUUUUAUGAACCAUUGAAGUUGCUGAAAAUCUUUUUCUCAAGUCUAUCCAGCAACUCCGCAUAGAUUUUAGUACCCUUCCCUCGAGGGCUGUGAUCGUUGGAAUCAAUCUGUAGGUAUCAAAACUUAAUAUUCAAAUUUUAUAUUUUCUAGGUUUUUAUCACCAGAUUCAAUGUCAAAAUCUUCUGGAAUAGGAUUAUGAUUCUCAGGAAUAUUUUGCUCGUGAUUUCUCUAUGGCCAUCUGGUACAAACUUUCCAAGAUCUUCAUUUUCAAGAUCUUGUUCUCAUAACUUUAUUGAAGCCAUAUAUGCCCGAUGGUUCACCUGAUAAACCCAUAACCAUUUUUGAAUCAGAUCAUACUUCGUGAGUGUGGUUGUUUGCCAAACAUAUCAUCUUCUACCUGAUUUUAAUCUUCAAGGAUAUCUCCUUUAAUUUUUUUGGGCUCAAUCAAAAGAGGCUUGUGAACUUCAACUGUCUUUUCAACCAACUAGUUCAUUCUCCUGGCAAGUCUUUCACGGUAUUCAUACCCCACAGUCAUUCAACAGAUGAUAUUAAGGCUUUUUUCCUUUCCUAUAUGAUUCUAAAAUGAGAAAAAAGAACUCUAGGUCUUUUGCAUAGCCAACUAAUAUUUGCUUUCGUUCUCACAGAACCAUAGCGUUUGCUCUCAUUCUCCUUCUGUCUCUUUGGGGACUUCUUCCUUGGACGCCCCUCUUGCUUGCAUAGCCAAAAAAAAAUUCUUUCUGCUGUAGGAUUUAUCUGCACAACAAGACAAUUUACGAGAGAGAGAGAGAAGCAGCUAAGACAAUUUUUAUCUGGAAGAAUAUAUUCUACGUCAAAGUUGUGAUAACUAUACUAUUCUUGUAUAAUUAGAAGCCUAGUUUGCUGAGUUUCUUUCAGAUUCAGAUUUGUUAAAAAAAUAGCUCUGAUACCAUGUUAAAAUUUUUGGAUAUGUGCGCUGCCGAAGUAUGGUUUUUAGUAUUAGUUAUAGUUUUUUGUUAGUGAUGUGUGCAAGUGUAUGGUAUAUUUUGUAGAGGAUGGACAAGGAACAAGAUAGAAUAAUUCAAGGACAAAGGUGAUAAAUAGGGAGAAAAUAGUUUCAUUAAUUGGUCAAAAUAAUUUGAUGGAGGUACGGUGGAGAUCUAAGACCUCUCACGGUGGAGGGUUUUCACCCCCACACACAAGGUGGAGGGUUCGCCUCUCACACACCUCAAAUGGAUGAACAACCAGCCUAUUUAUAGAUAAUUACAACCGACUUAGUCACUGCCCUAGACAGCUAGACAAUUUUCUUCUUCUCCAAGAGUACUUGCUGCCCACAUACUCUUGAUCCUUCUUUCUUCAUGGUUAAGCAGCCAUUGUUGACUUUCAUUCGAUAUUUCCCAUGCACAAAUUUCCCAUGCACGUAGACUUCUCUAGCUUCUUCUCCUUCAGCCGCUAUUCUUGACUUUAGGUUUCCCACUCGAAUCUUCUCCAACAUAUGAAAGUCUUCAACUUUGACUUGGACUCGCCUUUUCUUGCAUGCUUGCCGACUUAGAGCAAGUUGUAGCCGCCAAUUUCCUUCUCCAUUAAGUUAGUAGUUUCUUGAUAGUUGUAGAGAAAAUAGAUCACAAUUUCCAACAAGAUUCAAGAAUCUUUCGACAUAUUCAGAGUUGGUUCUCACUACAAACCUUGUUGGGGCUAGGAAUAUGUAAAAAGUUUUUUGUACAAAUUUUCAUGGCAAGUACAUCCUUUACAUGUAUCAAAUAAAUGAGUUCAGAUCAUUUAAAUGUGGCAGACUAAUAUUGAUAGAAGUUUUACUUAUUUUCUUUAUUUAGUUUUUUGUACUUCUCCCCAGCAUUCAUGUGAUGCAUCAGAAGGUGAUAAUAUGAUGGCAAAUGCUUUACCUUUUCUUUUACCUAGUGCUUGAGUGUCUUCAUCAUCCCAAAAUCGAGAUGCAUUACUUGGAGCUUUCUUGGGUAGCCUACUAAGAGAUUUUAAAAUUGUCUGGCCUAGUUAGCACUUAGCAGAUCUACAGUACCUCUGAACUUUUUAUCUUCUACUUUGUCAGGAAAGUUUAUUAUAUCUCGCAAAUUUAGGUUUGUAAUGCUAGCUUUUUUUCUCUCUACUUCCUACUUCCAUACCCAAGCAAUUAUCUUUUUCCUUUAUCCAUUUUACCUUCUCUUUUACAUAGGAUCAUGCCUUUUUUCUUAAAGAUAUUUGUCAGUAGUCAUAAGUGAUUCAUUUGCAUCUCUUCACUUUUGCUAAAGACUAUUACAUUGCGUAUAUACGCAGCACAAAAUGCCUAGGGCAUUCUGUCUAUGAGAUCUCCUGCCGUAGCUAUCUUAUAGUCAUCAGCCUUGUUGGUUUGCUGAGCUGAAGAUAGUCUGCAACAGUUCACGCUUUUCCUACCAGCUUUGCAUGGUUAAUGGGUUAGAGUGCGGAAUAUAACCAUCUCUUAUAAAACCUUUGGAGCACAGAUCAGGAAUUUGUCUUUCAAAUACCUCUACCAACUCACAGUUUUUGCUGAAAUGAUGAUAAUUGGAUCUUUUAGCUCAAGUCUGACUUUUACACCAUUAAGACUCCACAAUUUGACUUACAUUUUACACACACACAAAAAAAAAAAAAAAUAGAAAAAAGUAAAAGGACUCGACAAUUUGUGGAUCUUCACGAAAGUUAUUUUUCAAUUUCGGCAGGAACUUAUUCCAUUUUGUUCCUGGCAGUUGGAUACCCCGAAUUUUCCCUUGUUCUAGGCAGAACAAAUUUUGACAGUAGAAGGUAUCAUUUGGAAAUGAAGAUUUUUCGCAUCCAAAUAGCUUAUGCUCCCAUUAUUUACCACGUUGUGCUCACACUAUGAAUGCUUGGCCACAUGGACAGUCUCCACAAAACUCUGAUUUGUUUCACAGGAUAAACCUCAAAUUUGUCUUAACCAAGGAUUUAGAAGAGUGACGCCUGCUAUAGUAAUCGUGGUGCUUUCUUGCACAAAAGACCAUUUUUCGUUUUGUCCCUUAAGAAAGCAUUACCAAGAAUGACAUCCUCGUCUAGUGUCAGGAAAGGAAAAUCCGUCUAACAAUGAACAUUGAUUCCCACCAGCCAUUCUUAAUGCAAUAGGCUCUGUUAAUGGUCCCCACCAUUCGUCUGGUGAUGCAUUGGGUCUUGCACAAUUAGUACAAGCUCCAGUGUCUCUAAUGAAUAUGGAUAACACCCGGGAAACUUAAACAUCACAAACAUGUAAGUGCUUAACCCAGCUCAGUUGAUAUGCCAUUUGGGAGGAGGGUUCGAUAAUAUCCCAAACUUUGUCCAUGACUAUAGACCAUCGCCUUGCUGUAUUCCCAAAGCUUGGAAACCUUCAUGUAUAUCUUGGGAUGCGGAUCUUUUCUCCUUCGAAGUGAAUUACGAUUAGAACACUAUUAUCCUUUGACUAUGUAUCCUCUUCUUCAUAGACAGGCAUAUUGAUUUGUUUGUAUCCUAUGAUCCUUCUUUCUAAGGUUAUUGAGUUUACUGACCUUUGAGAUGCAACCUCCUCCCGGUUGACUUCUUGUACAGUAUCCUGUGGUACAGUAAGAGUUUCAAAAGUCCCUAACUUCCAAGCAAAGAGGGAGUAGACAAUGUUCUAAACAUAAGUUUCUUUUUAGGGGUGAGAAUAUUGGAACGCCCAAAUCGGGAACCACCUAGACCGGACUGGAUGGACUGGAUCGGAUUGGAUUGGACCGGGUUCUUGGAGGGAUCGAUCUGGUUUUCAGUUUCGUAGAAAUGGAACCGGUGAUUCUCAGUCUGGUUCUUAGUUCUAGGGAGAACUGAUCAGACUGGCCUUGCUCUUUUUUCUUAAAAAAACAAAUUAAUUUAUUAAAAUAGCAAUAAACUCUAAAAUAAUAACAACUCUAGUAUUUUUAUUAUUAUUAUUUUUUUUUUGCUAAGUGAUUGGUUCCCGGUCCUAGGACCGUCUAGUCCAAUCAACUAGUCCUAAAAAUUGAGAAUUGGUGCUCCCGAUUCGAUUCCCGAUUUCUAGGUGGAACCAGAUUAGAUUACGAACUGAUAACCCCUAGUUAUUUUUGCUCCCCUCUAUUGGACCCGAGAUGCACUAAUCUCUCUAGAUGCUCCAAUAGGUUCCACCAUAGUCGAACUCCUAGGCUGUGUAAUUCUAGGGGGUUAAUUUUUUACCUACAACCUACAAAAUUGUUUGUAAUCGUGUGAACCUCUUCACCUGCUAUCUAACUUCCAUUCUCUAGGAUUCGCGGCAUUCACGAAUCUAUAAAUCAUCCUAGUGUGAUACACCAAACAUUUGACCCGUGGGUUCAUCCUAUCCAUGUUUAAAGAAUCAAUUCUCAAUGUUAAUGAAUUCCCCAAACAAAUAUCAUUUAGAGCCAACAAAUUAUUUGGUUGGGCUUGGAAGCAGACUGGCCCAUGUGCUAGAUUGGCUAGUAUUCCUGAUAUCAAUUAAUCUCGAAGAUCCGUCCAUCUUUGAUCCAAUACAGUUUCAAUCACAAAAUUGCCAACAGGAAGAUGAAAUAGUGGGACCUAUCCUAUUCUGAUUAACCCUACAUAUGUAUAUAAGGGCAUGUGCCUCUUGUUCUUUCUCUUGUCUCUCUAAUUUUUUGAAGAUUUAGCAUAGGCACAUCUAAUGUUUGAAGUUCAGUAUACGACAUCUUUGCCAUUGGUGUCAAUCGUGAGAAAGUUAUUGCCUAUUUAGAGUUAAAUCUUAAUAAUCAAUAAAUAGCCCUAACGUCUACUUCGAGCAGCCUCCACUCCAAAGUUGAUCCUGACAAUAAAUCUUGUCGAAAAGUUUCUUCUAAUACCUAAAAUGUUGACUUUAAGGGCACUAUAUCAUCACAUGCGUUCGUCAUUGAUAAUUGUUCACUACAUUAUCUUGAAUCUUCUUCAUCCGUCUCAUAUUCUGAGAAAACUUCAUAGAGACAUUUAACCUGAAAGUAUAAAUUUUCUAGUUCCUGCUGAUCUAUAGGUUUAUAAGCAGGUUCCUCAUGAAGAGUGACAUCUUCGAAAAUACUCCACAAAUAUUCUCUUUUCGUGGAUACUUUUAUUGACAAGCAUGAAGCUUGUGGGGGUUUGAAUCCACAAAAUAGAACAAAAGCUACAACUACUUAACAGGGUUUAACUUGAGGAAAACGAGGCGUUCUUCUGUGUUCCCUUUUAAAGGCCUCAAUUCUUUGUAAAUCUGGAUGACUUUUCAGAUUUAUGAGGCCUUAGUUAUCCCCUUGGUAUACUUUUUUCAUAUCAAAUAAACUUUCUUCUUUUCGAUUCUUUAGGGAAAGUCUCUUGCAGUUCUGGUUUCUCGAUGGAUGUUACAGCCAUAUCUACACUGCACAUAUUAAAUCAAAGGGCAACAACUCUUGUUUAAAUAAGGAAACUAUUUAGUUGCUUCCUUCGCUUAGAAUUCAUUACUCGCUCUCCUCAUCGUAUACAUUUUUUCCUGGAUUCACCCACCUGGACCUUCUACUACCUCUUUUUCUUGAAGGAGCAAGUCGUAAGCCUUCUUUGUGACCUCUGGCCAGGGCUUCGGAAGUAUGUCAAAGAGAGUCUUUGAGAUUGUUGAAAUUCACAGUGCCAAAAUAGCACAUGUCAAAAGUCUGUACUUUCAUUAGAGCAUCUCAAGGCUAUACUAUAUACUAUUUCUGUAAAAAGCAAUAAAUCACAGAAUUCUCUUUUUAAGACAUCUGUUACGAUGGCUUAUUUUCCAUCUGCAAUAAGCUCUUGUCUAUUUUAUACCUUAAAACUGUUUGAGAUAAUAAGAAUUUGCCAAACAUCUGAGCGUUACUGACAAGAGUGGCUUCACAUACUUCAUACGUAGUGUUGGACUUUAUCCUCCUGCAUUUGUUAUCAAAUCAAUGGUUGUGACCAUUCAUCUAUCCUGUCAAACACAUGUUUUCCGUAUUGAGAUUAAGAAAAGCACCAAGAACUAACCAGAGGCCUUAAUGGAUUAAUCAUUAAACAAACUAUGAUUUGUUCUAUGUGGAUAACCGGGCUUAUAUAAAGUCCAUUGUCGCUGUUAAAAGCUCAAUAAAUAUUCUAUCAUCAAUAGUAUCGGAGAUUCUUUAGCCAACCCCAAAGAUUGCCGAAGAUGUUGGGCUAACUUACUAGUAUCAUUACCAUUAAG